GACCAAAAACCUUAGAUAACACCUCCCCAUUAUAAUGUAUCAAGGUAACUGAAGUUUAUCAAGCCUAAUGAGAGGAGUGUGAGAGGAACCAUUAAGAAUAAUGUGAGGGUAAUACUUGGAGCCAAAUUCAAAGAGUCAGAUUUGUUCUUUCCGAUGAUAAUGAGGGUUGCUUUAAAAGAAUGCUUUAUUUUGGUAAAAAAUCAAAGAAAUGAAAGAUUGGCAUAUAUCAUAAGUUGUUGAUGGUAUUACAUCCAAUUUCCGCUUACUACCUGAAGGUGAUCACAAUAUUUUCUUUCCAUGCUUUUACAAUUAGGAUGCAUGUAAAAUGAAGAUCAAAAGGAGAGUUAGAAUGAAGGCCUCUGGUGGCAGAAAUUGGAUCCGAUACACUGCAUUAAUUAGUAUAAUUAUUAUUUGGUAUUCUUUUUUUUUUUUUUGAGUUGGACACUUCCAGCAUGUAAGCAAAUAAAAAUCAUAUAGUACGGGCAUUAUAAAAUAUCAUAUCGUGCGGGCUUCAUAAUUUAUCAUAUUUUUUUUUAAUACCAAUCUUAAAAAAUAAGUUUAAAAAUUAAAAAAAAUUUUAACUGACAAUAUUAUUAUUAUUCUUGUGAUUCAAAAAAAAAUAACAUUCUCUUUCUUUCUCAUCUUCAAUAUAUACUUUUUACUAAUUCUGUCACGCCCCNNNNNNNNNNNNNNNNNNNNNNNNNNNNNNNNNNNNNNNNNNNNNNNNNNNNNNNNNNNNNNNNNNNNNNNNNNNNNNNNNNNNNNNNNNNNNNNNNNNNNNNNNNNNNNNNNNNNNNNNNNNNNNNNNNNNNNNNNNNNNNNNNNNNNNNNNNNNNNNNNNNNNNNNNNNNNNNNNNNNNNNNNNNNNNNNNNNNNNNNNNNNNNNNNNNNNNNNNNNNNNNNNNNNNNNNNNNNNNNNNNNNNNNNNNNNNNNNNNNNNNNNNNNNNNNNNNNNNNNNNNNNNNNNNNNNNNNNNNNNNNNNNNNNNNNNNNNNNNNNNNNNNNNNNNNNNNNNNNNNNNNNNNNNNNNNNNNNNNNNNNNNNNNNNNNNNNNNNNNNNNNNNNNNNNNNNNNNNNNNNNNNNNNNNNNNNNNNNNNNNNNNNNNNNNNNNNNNNNNNNNNNNNNNNNNNNNNNNNNNNNNNNNNNNNNNNNNNNNNNNNNNNNNNNNNNNNNNNNNNNNNNNNNNNNNNNNNNNNNNNNNNNNNNNNNNNNNNNNNNNNNNNNNNNNNNNNNNNNNNNNNNNNNNNNNNNNNNNNNNNNNNNNNNNNNNNNNNNNNNNNNNNNNNNNNNNNNNNNNNNNNNNNNNNNNNNNNNNNNNNNNNNNNNNNNNNNNNNNNNNNNNNNNNNNNNNNNNNNNNNNNNNNNNNNNNNNNNNNNNNNNNNNNNNNNNNNNNNNNNNNNNNNNNNNNNNNNNNNNNNNNNNNNNNNNNNNNNNNNNNNNNNNNNNNNNNNNNNNNNNNNNNNNNNNNNNNNNNNNNNNNNNNNNNNNNNNNNNNNNNNNNNNNNNNNNNNNNNNNNNNNNNNNNNNNNNNNNNNNNNNNNNNNNNNNNNNNNNNNNNNNNNNNNNNNNNNNNNNNNNNNNNNNNNNNNNNNNNNNNNNNNNNNNNNNNNNNNNNNNNNNNNNNNNNNNNNNNNNNNNNNNNNNNNNNNNNNNNNNNNNNNNNNNNNNNNNNNNNNNNNNNNNNNNNNNNNNNNNNNNNNNNNNNNNNNNNNNNNNNNNNNNNNNNNNNNNNNNNNNNNNNNNNNNNNNNNNNNNNNNNNNNNNNNNNNNNNNNNNNNNNNNNNNNNNNNNNNNNNNNNNNNNNNNNNNNNNNNNNNNNNNNNNNNNNNNNNNNNNNNNNNNNNNNNNNNNNNNNNNNNNNNNNNNNNNNNNNNNNNNNNNNNNNNNNNNNNNNNNNNNNNNNNNNNNNNNNNNNNNNNNNNNNNNNNNNNNNNNNNNNNNNNNNNNNNNNNNNNNNNNNNNNNNNNNNNNNNNNNNNNNNNNNNNNNNNNNNNNNNNNNNNNNNNNNNNNNNNNNNNNNNNNNNNNNNNNNNNNNNNNNNNNNNNNNNNNNNNNNNNNNNNNNNNNNNNNNNNNNNNNNNNNNNNNNNNNNNNNNNNNNNNNNNNNNNNNNNNNNNNNNNNNNNNNNNNNNNNNNNNNNNNNNNNNNNNNNNNNNNNNNNNNNNNNNNNNNNNNNNNNNNNNNNNNNNNNNNNNNNNNNNNNNNNNNNNNNNNNNNNNNNNNNNNNNNNNNNNNNNNNNNNNNNNNNNNNNNNNNNNNNNNNNNNNNNNNNNNNNNNNNNNNNNNNNNNNNNNNNNNNNNNNNNNNNNNNNNNNNNNNNNNNNNNNNNNNNNNNNNNNNNNNNNNNNNNNNNNNNNNNNNNNNNNNNNNNNNNNNNNNNNNNNNNNNNNNNNNNNNNNNNNNNNNNNNNNNNNNNNNNNNNNNNNNNNNNNNNNNNNNNNNNNNNNNNNNNNNNNNNNNNNNNNNNNNNNNNNNNNNNNNNNNNNNNNNNNNNNNNNNNNNNNNNNNNNNNNNNNNNNNNNNNNNNNNNNNNNNNNNNNNNNNNNNNNNNNNNNNNNNNNNNNNNNNNNNNNNNNNNNNNNNNNNNNNNNNNNNNNNNNNNNNNNNNNNNNNNNNNNNNNNNNNNNNNNNNNNNNNNNNNNNNNNNNNNNNNNNNNNNNNNNNNNNNNNNNNNNNNNNNNNNNNNNNNNNNNNNNNNNNNNNNNNNNNNNNNNNNNNNNNNNNNCUUACUUUUCUAAGUGGAUCAAAAGUAUUUUGAUAUAGUUAAAUUAAAGAAAAAAAUUUAUUUUGUCAGAGUAUGAUAUUCAUGUUAUGAUGAAAUCUUUAAUAAUUCAUAUUAUUAUCUUUGGAUUAGAUUUUUUUUAAUUUUUCUUGUGAUUGUUAAAGAUGGUGAAGUGUUAAAUUUUUGGCCUUGCAUAUUCUUUAGGGCUUGCUCUAAGGAGUGUGCGGCCAUCACGUAUCCGACCCGGAUGUUCGGUUCGGGGCGUGACAAAUUCGUACUGUAAGACCAUACGAUAUAUACUAAAUAAAUUAAUCAUCAACAAAUCAAUACACAAUGAUAAAUAAAUCAACAUACAUUUUUCAGAAUAUAGAGUUCACUGACAUAUAAUAUACAAUCAAAUGAUAUAUAUUUAACAAAUUAGUUAUCUAGUGAUCGAAUACAUACCUUCAAGCAAAUUGAUGCAUAAUUUAGAAAUAUUAUAUUCAUUAGUACAUACUAUAUAGUUUGAUAAUAUAUCCUCAUCAUAUUUCUGAUACAUACUGCAGGCUUUUUUAAGACACACCCAAUAGUCAUCCAAUCCCUAUCUCCAAAUAAAAAGCAUAUCCUAAAAAAUAUGUAUUAAUUUAUUUGAAGAUGUAUAUUAGCUCAUUGCUAAGUUUGUAUCAAAAAAACUUACAGUAUGUAUCAAAAAGUCAAUGAAUAUAUAUUACUAUAUGAUAUAAUGCGUACUAGUGAACAUAAUAUUCUGAAACUAUAUAUCAAUUUAUUUAGAGAUAUCUACUAAGUUGCUAGAUAACUAAUUCAUUAUGUAUCAUCUAGUCCUAUAUUAUAUAUUGAUGAAUUCAUGUUCUAAAGGUUAAGUAUUGAUUUAUCUAGAGGUAUAUAUUGCAUCACUACCAAAUAUAUAUUGUUGGUGCAAAAAUCCGCCUGCGACGGAGAAGCUGGAGUCGAGGGAGCCGCGGUCGCCGUCGGGAUCUGCAAAAGAAGUCUAAACCGGAGGUGGGAUUGCUCCGGCAAGACUCUCCGACGCUCAAGUCAGUUCUCUGUCUCAACAAGAAUGGAGUGCUCGAACGAAAAUUUUAGCAGAGUUUUGGGAUAGAAAAUUAGAGCUUAGAGAAUAACGUAUCUGGGUCCCCCUUUUACAGGCGGAGGGGACAACAGACUGAUAGCGAUGUCCACAACCGUCUGGCAGUGGGCUGCCCAGGGUCAGGAGGAGUUUGUUGCGAAGAGUAGUGGAGUGGGAUCGUGGCCGUCACCAAGACAUGCCACGUGGAGUCUGUUGCGGGGAGUGGAGCGACGUCCGUUGUCGCGACUUGCCAGAGGGUGGAGGAACUGCGUGGUAUCCGUCGUAGGAAGUGGAAUAGAAUCGUGGCCAUUAUUGUGGUUUGCCAGGGAGUGAUGGAGCCGCGCAGAAUCUGUCGCAAGAAGUGGAGCAGAGUCGUGGCCAUUACUGCGGCCUGCCAGGGAGUGAUGGAGCCGCGUGGAAUUUAUUGCAGGAAGUGGGGCAGAGUCGUAGCCGUUACUACGGCCUGCCAGGAGGUCCAAGCCUGUCGGUCGAAGUUCGACUGGAGUGUCUGACGGAGAGAGGUGGCUAGCUACCCGUCUGAGAGGAGCUUGGAGUCCGGCUCCCGUAGGAGUCCGGACGAAGUCUUCCUUCAGUCGAAGUCGGGGACGAGGUCUGGCUUCCGUGGUAGUUCGGACGGAGUCUUCCCGCAGCCGGAGUCAGAGACGAGAUCUGGCUCCCGUAGGAGUCCGGGCAAAGUCUACCUGCAAUUAAAGUCAGGGGCAAAGNNNNNNNNNNNNNNNNNNNNCCGGGUGAAGUCUACCUGCAAUUAAAGUCAGGGGCGAAGUCCGGCUCCCUUAGGAGUCCGGACGAAGUUUACCAACAAUUGAGGUCGGGGACGAAGCCCGGCUCCCGUAGGAGUCCGGGCGAAGCCUUCCGGCAGUUGAGGUCGGAGACGAAGUCUGGCUUCCGUAGGAGUCCGGACGAAGUCUUCCUGCAGCCGGAGUCGGAGACGAGAUCUGGCUCCCGUGGGAGUCCGGGCGAAGUCUACCUGCAAUUAAAGUCAGGGAUGAAGUCCGGCUCCCUUAGGAGUCCGGAUGAAGUUUACCAGCAAUUGAGGUCGGGGACGGAGCCCGGCUCCCGUAGGAGUCCGGGCGAAGUCUUCCAGCAGUUGAGGUCGGGGAUGAAGUCCGGCUCCCGUAGGAAUCCGGACGAAGUCUUCCUGCGGUCGGAGUCGGAGACGAGAUCUAGCUCUCGUAGGAGUCCGGGUGAAGUCUACCUGCAAUUAAAGUCAGGGGCGAAGUCCGGCUCCUUUAGGAGUCCGGACGAAGUUUACCAGCAAUUGAGGUCGGGGACGGAGCCCGGCUCCUGUAGGAGUCCGGGCGAAGUCUUCCAGCAGUUGAGGUCGGGGACGAAGUCCGACUCCCGUAGGAGUCCGGACGAAGUCUUCCUGCGGCCGGAGUCGGAGACGAGAUCUGGCUCCCGUAGGAGUCCGGGCGAAGUCUGGCUCCCUUAGGAGUCCGGACGAAGUUUACCAGCAGUUGAGGUCGGAGACGGAGCCCGGCUCCCGUAGGAGUCCGGACGAAGCCUUCCAGCAGUUGAAGUCGGGGAUGAAGUCCGGCUCCCGUAGGAGUCCGGACGAAGUCUUCCAGCAGGUGGUCGACCACCGCCGAACUUGGGUGGAAUCCGCCUGUCAUGGUGAGUCCGGUCGACGUUGGUGGGGGUUCAUCCGUCGACAGAAUUUGGGAAUGUUGCGGAGGCUCGGCCGCCAGAGAGGUUCGGCGAGAUGUCGUCGGAGGUCUGACGUCAGUAAAAUCCCCGGAGGGUCGCCCCUAUCACGAACUUCGGCUGGGAGGUAUUUUAUAUCCAACAUAUAUCAAAAAAAUUUAUAGUAUAUAUCAAAAAAUUGAUGAGUGUGUAUCACAAUACUAUGUAGUGUGUACUGAUAAUAUAAUAUUUUAAAAAUUAUAUAUUAAUUUAGUUGGAGAUGUAUAUUAGAUUGCUAGAUGACUAAUUUAUUAAUAUGUAUUAUUUGAUCGUAUAUCAUGUAUUACUAAACUCCAUAUUUCAAAAAUUGUAUAUUGAUUUAUUUGGAGAUAUAUAUUAAUUUGUUUGAUAAUUAAUUUAUUUAGUGUAUAUCAUUUAAUCAUAUAGUAUAUAUCAAUAAAAAUAUAUUAUUAAAAAAAUAAUAUCAUAUUAUUUUAAAUUACGAGACUAAUAACUCCAUUGAUAGAAAGGAUUUUUGAUUUUUAUAUAUUUUUAAAAAUUAAUAUUAAAAAAAAAAGCAAAAUAGAAAGCCCGUCCCAUAUCAUAUUCUAUAGUGCCUGGCCCUAUAGCUUUUGUUCCGACUAGCCUCCAUUAUUACAAGAAAUUAUAACAAUGCUCUAAUCAUCAUUGCUACAAUUCAAGCAACCAUCUCCGCAUCAAGGACAUGUUAACACGUCCAUCUCUUUUCCAAAACAGGAUCCUAUGCGACUCUCUUGACAAUGUUCUAAGAGAAAGAGGGUUAUGGGUGCAUAUAUUAUUCCAAAAAUAGAAGAAAACAUGCUCCAAACCCUCCAUUAAAUCUCAUUCAUUCAUUUAUUAAAAUCUAGCAUUAUUUAGAAUGAAAAGUAAGUGUGGUUCUAUUAUUUAUAAGCUCUAUCAUAGAACCCAAAUUCUCCAUGCCUGCUUAUGUCCUUUCUCCCUAUGUUACAUCCAUACUUUUUUUAUUAGAUCUUCUGACAUGAGAGUUCAUAAUUAUGGGUUGUGCUAGGAAGCAAGACAUGAUGCUCGGCACUUGAAAGAUAUAUUCAAAGACAGUCUUAUCAACUUUUAGGUAUAUAAAUUUUACUUCGAAGUAUAGUUAAAUUGUAUGCUAUCCAUAAUUCAUAUUGGCUCCAAAAUGGCAAAAUGUAGAUAGCGACAUGACGCAAGCUGGAAACUAACUAUUACAAGACUAAAGUCUCGAAUGUCAGAAUAAAUAACCUCGAUGGAUUGAUGAAUGAUCAAAGAAGCAAAAGAUAGACAGAUGUACUAAAAGUUAUACUAAAACAAAACAGAAGGAUGCACCCUUCAUUAUUACAAAGCUUCGGGACGACCUCAAAUCCAUCCCUAGUCCAGUUAAAGAAACGAUAAAAAUGCGGCACUUGACUUCAAGCGUCAACAGGCUUAAAUAUUUGAAAAUCAAUAAACUUGCAGUUUGAGCAGCAAUUUACUGUGAAUCAGUCAAAAGAUCAUAUCACCACAAUCAGCACAAACAAAAUUUUGGUAUGAAGCCACUUUUAACACGUCUGGUAUUGAUUAAGUUUUCGAACGCAUCUUAAAUCAGAUCAAUCAAAGAUCGGACGGUGAAAUCACCAACAUCGAACCUAUAUUAAUACAGUCCAAGGCUACGAACAAACAACCAAACCAUACCAUCUUUGUAUGAACGGUCGCAAACUGUUUGCAAGCCGGCUGCAUGUGCCGGCUCUUAUUUUCGGGUAAUGGCAGGACUGAUAGGAGACUCCCAAAUGCAAAUAAAACGAUGGAUCGGGAUUGCGGAAGGGGUCAGAUAGGCCGAGCGGUACCAAGAGAGCUAGGAACGAAGCAUCAAGAAUUUCCGACGGUGAUGUCUGGCAACCAAGAGGGCCAAGAUGGUAACAACGGGGAGCGCGGAGGGGAGGAGUUCGUCCGCGAUUGCCUCUCCAAGUGCCGUCUUCUUCGAGGUACUCCUACCAUCAAAAGCUCGUUUCAGUCUUUUAACCCACGGCUCCAAGCACAUCUGUGAUUAGUGUGACAACCUAAAUAAACCUUAUUUCUUGUAAGAAAGUUGGCACAAAUGUCAUAAUUUGUUAUUCCAUUAAAAAAACUUUUAUGAUUUAAUCAAUGAUGCCAUAAAUCCUGCUUCUUUUGUUUCUUUCUUUUUCUUUUUUCCUUUUUUUUCUUUUUUUUUGAUCCAUGGCAUUUCUAACAUGAUCCAUCUAGUUGCUCUGAAUCUGUACCCAGACAGUUUUCCCAAAGACACGUAGACGACACCGAGAACCAACCUCACAAAAGAACUCAUGUAUCAGAUCAUGUUGUGAAGAAUUGGUUGGCAAAAAAUGAAAAGAAGCAAAAAAAAAAAAACAAAACACAAUCCAUGAAUGGAUUUUGGUAAGAAACUAAUGUGGGUGUUGACAGUCUCAGUGCAUAAUCCCCAGCAGUUUGAGAAAAGAGAAAUGCGCAAUAUGUAUUCGUUAAAAAGCCGCAAGAAGCUUGUUAUGUAAAUCAAGAAUUAAUAAUUUAAAGGCCAGAAACCUUAGGAAUUAUUAUAUAUUGGCUUAUUAUUAUAUGCUGUCAUCAUUUAUUACAAGAUAGGUCUUCUGUUAAUUUAUCUGGUGUAUUUGGUCACCCUCAAAAUGUGCCGGAAAAUUCAAUGGAUAGGGGGGGAGCUUCCUCUCUAUUGUUUCAGCAAGGCUGCCCAGGAGUAUACUUCUCCCUCAGAUAAGAAAGAGCCUCAGUCAUUAUUCCUUGAUAGGCUUCUCAAGGAGGUAGUUAGAAGCUUUAUUUAUGAUUGGAUUUCUCCAUUUGCUUAGUCCAUGUGAGCUUAAAGUCGUUUUUUAUUACAGUGGGAGGACCGCAGGCUUAGAGGACUGUUCCACCAUGAUAUCACUGCCUGUGAAACUAAGGUCUGCACCAUCUUUUAGUAUUCUAGUUCUCACCUGCGUUCCCAUCCAUUGACACUGCAUGUAUAUGGGUGGGCUUCUUUACAUAAUUAUUCUUUGAAUGUGUUUAUGUAUAGAUACUUCCAGGAGAAUAUGGGUUUAUGGUAGUACUGGUUGAAGGUCGUGACCUCAAGAAACGGCCAACUGAGUUCGGACUCGACAAGGUCCUCCAACCCUUUGAUGGAAGAAAGUUCAACUUUACAAAAAUAGGGCAAGAGGAGGUGCUCUUUAGAUUUGAAGAAAGUGAGAAUGAUGUGGUCCAGUAUGUCCAACAUGCUCCUGUUAUGCCAUCAGCCUCCCCAAAUGUGAUUGCCAUCAAUGUGGCCAUAUAUCUUUUGGAACCACUUCUGUUUAUCUUCUUUGAUGAUACAAGAAAUUGUUGGACUCUUCUGUUUUGUUGCAGGUUAGCCCUAUAGCAUAUGGCCAUGUGCUUUUGAUCCCUCAUGUGCUAGACUGCAUGCCGCAGCGGAUUGAUCGAGAGAGCUUCUUGCUUGCCAUGCACAUGGCAAGGGAAGCCAAAAAUUCCUAUUUCAGAGUGGGUUAUAACAGUCUUGGUGCCUUUGCCACCAUUAAUCACCUCCACUUCCAGGUUGCAACCCCUUUACAGCUUUUCGUAGUUUCUUCAUUGGAUGAUAUAAGCUCAGUUGAAAUUUCUUGUUUUCUUGCUCACCUCAUGGUGGCAGGCUUACUACUUGACAGAACCAUUCCCUGUGGAAAAGGCUCCCUUUCAGAGGAUUGCAACUUUAGGGAGUGGGGUGAAGAUUUCUCAACUGUUACAUUAUCCUGUAAGAGGUCUUGUUUUAGAAGGUGGGAGUAGCUUGCAGGAUCUAUCAACUGUUGUCUCCAGUGCCUGCAUUUUCCUUCAAGAUAACAACUGCCCCUACAAUGCCCUUAUAUCUGAUUCUGGCAAGAAGAUUUUUCUCUUACCACAGGUAAUUCCAGUUAGGUGCAAAUCCCUUCAAUGCUUACACUAUGCACAUAUUUUCUUAAAUACAAAUCAAGUCAAAUGUAUAUAUUUUUUGAUGUCCAAAAUGAAUGAGCAGUGGUAUGCUGAGAAAAAGGCCAAAGGUGAAGUUAGCCAAGAGAUCCUUGAAAAGCAAGUGAAUCCAGCAAUAUGGGAGCUCAGUGGACAUUUUGCAUUGAAGCGGAGACAGGACUAUGAGGAAGCAUCAGAAGGGAAUUUAUAUAGUUUCUUGGAAAUGGUGUCUCUAUCCGAGGAGCGGUUCGAAGAGAUGAAGGGAGAUAUCUUGGAAUUCCUUGCCAGUGGAAGCUGCUGAGGAUCAUGUGAAGGGCAGAUAGGGAUACUUCCUACAAAAACAAGAUCUCCUUGAUUGCUAGCAGUAAUGAUGUUCGUGUAUCAAGCUUCGACAAGUUGGUGGAUAUAUGCUUUAUGUCUUGCUAUUUAUUGUUCAACUGUGGUUACUUUGUGUUUCAGUUGUGAUGAUCUUCAGUUAGCAUCAAAUGUGUCCUUAAAAGUAUAGCUCUGUUAAUGUUGCAAUGGCCUUUAGCCACUUUGCUGGGUAUUAUGAUGACGAUAUUCCCAGAUUCUUGAAACAUUCCGGAAUUGUUCAUGAAAUUUGUCUGGGCAAAAUUUCUCCGAUUUCUGCUUGGACUGCCGAGUUACUCCUAGUUUUUAUACACACACACACACACACACACAUAUACAUACAUACAUACAGAUACAUACAUACAUACAUAUACAUACAUACAUACAGAUACAUACAUACAUACAUACAUACAUACAUAUAUAUAUACACACACACACAUGCAUAUAUAUAUAUAUACNNNNNNNNNNNNNNNNNNNNAUUUUUUUUUACACACACACACACACACACACAUAUAAUAUACAUACAUACAGAUAUAUACAUACAUACAUAUACAUACAUACAUACAGAUACAUACAUACAUACAUACAUACAUACAUAUAUAUAUACACACACACACAUGCAUAUAUAUAUAUAUAUAUAUAUAUAUAUAUAUGUAUGUAUAUGUAUGUAUGUAUGUAUGUAUAUGUAUAUAUGUAUACAUACAUGCAUAGAUGUAUGUAUACAUGCAUAUAUAUGUAUACAUACAUCCAUACAUAUAUAUAUAUAUAUAUAUAUAUAUAUAUAUAUAUAUAUAUAUAUAUAUAUAUAUAUAUAUAUAUACACUUUCACAAAUUUUAUGUAUGGUUCUUGUGUUAUUUGAAUUAUUUCUCAGAUACACAUGAACUAUGGAUUACUGAUGUUGCCUGUUGCUGUUGGUGGUAGUGGCAUCAUUAUUACUAUUUGCUGUUUUUGUUGGCUCUUGCUUCUUUAUUUUUGCGUUAAUCAGAAUAUGGAUAUGGAUACAGAGUUCCACCGAAUUUGAUUUGAAGCUUAUAGAAAACUUUUACUAGGAUGUUUUUAUUCUACCGUAUGAGCAUAAAUUUUGUAAAGCGUCCCGAUUCCUCUCAGAAGAUGUAUCUGAUUACGAGGUUAAGAAUUUAUUGGGUAGCAGUUUCCAUCGUAUCAAGUAGUGUGUCUUGUCUAGAGAGUUUUGGUGAUUCUCAUCAAGGGUAGCCACAAAGAUCAUUUUGUCUUCCAAAAUGCAAAGUAAUAGAUGUCUUGUUGGUACUGUUUAGCCACAAGAGUCACAAGAAUGGAGCAUCGCAUUCGAUUUAAUUGUUGACAAUUGCUAAAGGAAAAAAAAAAAAAGGUGAUAUAAUAAGGCUAUUCAUUCGUUUAAAUGGAUGAUGCAGUGGUUCACGUGCUUAUAUUGGUCUGCUUAGAAUCGAAUCAGCAUCCAUUCUAAGCCUAUAAAUGUUGGUUUUUAUAGAUUUAUUCUCAAGGAAAGUUUUUAUAGAUAUUUUCCAUUUAAUAUUUAUCUCUCAUAGGAUAUAUUUGUUUCAAGAAUAAAAAAUAAAUCCUAAUUGGCUUGAUUACAUAAUAUAAGUUGGAGCAGAAUCAGCAGUGGUAAACCAUUCAAUCUUUUCUCGGGAGUAAAUUAUGUUUCCAGGUCAAAUGGCGUAAAUGAAUUACGAGAAGAAAAGGUAAAGUAUUUACUUUGUACCAAUUGGCGUCUUUUUAAAAGUGUUUAUUUUAUCUACUCGAAAUGGUUAACACAAGCAUUGAAGUGAAUGUUUGAGCAAAUAAGGUGUAAUAAAUCGGUUUAGAAACUUCUGUUCAGUCCUAACCAAAUAUAGUCUCAUAUUUUUCCUUUUUUUUUACCAUCGAUCCACUUCCCUCUGUUGACGCAUGCAUAUAAACAUGCAAUUAACGAUACAUCUGGAUAUAUCUGGCAAUGGCCUGCGUGACCAAAUUGGUGAAUGACAGAUCUGAAACAUCGUUCUUUUCAUUAAAUAUCUUUUCUAUUGGUAUAGGUUAAUGAUCAUUAUAAGGAUUUAACUUCUCUUCAAUAUAUGGAUGAUUUCGAUAUGCUCAUCAUGGUCUGAAAAGUUCUAAAUUGGUAUCCUUCCUGGCAAAGUUCACAAAUACAGUUGUUUUCGAAUUAGGGCUUCUUAAUAUUUGGCGAAGAUAUGCAACUUUUUCUUUUCUAGAACCAGGAUAGGGGAAGUCAGGUUGUAAUUCGAUAGAGGUGAACAACUUUAUCAACUCAGAUUGCAUUUGGCAUGAUCUCCAAUUUUCAGUUUUUAAUUUUUUUCAUUAAAAUCGAAAUAUAAAAUUUCUUGGUUACUUAGAUUGUAUUUGGCGGCGACGAUGUAAUCAAUUGAAUUGCAUUUGGCAAUAGUGACGGCGAUGGUUAAUUGACGACACUUACUAGCAGUGAUGCCGGUGAUGAUCAGCAGACGGUAGAGAAGCGCCAAGCGCAGCGCGAGGCGGUGGCAACCAAGGAUAUGAUGGUGAUCACGCAUAGUUUUUUUAAUUANNUUUUUUUUUUUUUUAAGUGAUCACCAGAGCUUUUAAAGUUUCCACGCUUCAUAGAAAUUGAAAAAAUAAUUUCAAAAGAACGAAUAUGGAAACUAGGUUAACGACGCCGUACCUGAUUUUUGUGCUUUUUUUUCAAAAUAAAAAUUGAAAAGCCGAAUUGUUGCUAAAUAGGGCCCCAAGGUAAUUAGUACGCUCUAUUAGUGUGUGCAACAUUUGCAGUAGUCAAUAAUGAGAGACAGCGCUUUAAAUAAAAAGACAGAAGGAGGCGUGACGCCCUCCAAAUGUUGCAUUUGCAUAUUUGUUGCGGUAAUCGAUGUAUUUACAUGACCGUAUGCAAGGUCUAGGAGAUAUGUCCACCAAAAAGUUUACUAAGUUCAUUAAAGAUAUCUUUGUCUCUCAGUUUCUACAUAUAGAGGGAGAGAGAUGGGGUCAUGAUAGUCUUGUGCUUGCAUUAACGCGAGCAAGACUUGGAAAUGCAUCAUUCCCAGUGAAGGCAAAGGAAUUACCCAGAGAUUAGGAUGCGCAAGACUUAGAUAUGUAUUGUUUCUAGUGAAGGCAAAAAACUAACAAAAGUAAACCCAAACGAUACAACUUGAUUCAUGCCGUAGUGAACCACAUGCCCAGAUCUGUUCCAAAGUAUUUCCUCAAAGAGGAGCAGUCUCUAAUUUGCUGUAUAUUUUCUGAAAACAUCGCAGUGCAAUGAGCACUUCUCUUUCUCAAAAGGUAGCGGGGGUGGGGGUCGUGACUCGUGUGCGUAACUCAGGCGCUCUGCCUUCACCGGUUCUGCAUGAAGUCGGCGUGACCGAGGCACAAUCUCCUUGUAUCGUAAUCACUAUAUGGAGCAGUUGCAUCGCAACGCCACUCGCACCCACCUUCCGACUUGGUCCAGCCUUUACGUGGCCCUCAUUUUAAUGAGCUCAACCGUCCAGUCCGUAACGUUUCGUGCCACCCAAUCUUUCCACCAAAUCGUCCCCUGGGCCCCACCCAAUAAACAACGCAUCAAGCAACAACGAGAAAGUCAGAAAACACCUUUCGAGGGAGAUGGCUAAUCUGUAGGCAGAUGGCUAAGAUGGUGGCUUCACGAAUACAAGGCGGCCCCAAACUAGGUUUUAGCCGUCGGACCAGGCUUGCUUUCUUCCGUGCCGCAGCGGCCAGACCACCGUAGAAAGCGUUCGGAGGAAACGAAGGGAAGGCAGUUCCAUGCUCCCGUUGGUUUUGACUCCCUAAUUGUAAAAUAGAAGUUUCCCCAUUUGUCCUCGAUAAAAAUUUCCUCUCUUCUUGACCUUCCUCCCUCUAUUUUGUCUUCCCCGCCCUCGUAUUGCCCCUAAAUCCAACCCCAGGUUCUUCCCGGCUUCUCGUUUUUCCCUCAAAGAAAGCGAGCGGAUGGGAGCAGGAGACGAGGAGGCGAUGGGGAAGCGAGAGAAGCGAGAGGAAUUCAACGUCAUAGGUACAGCACCGAAGAUGGGAGAGGAGGAGGUUCGUAUGGUGGAGGAGAUACUGGGUUAUAGAUUUGGUAACAAAGAUCUGGUGGAGGAGGCUCUGACUCACGGCUCGUUCUACUUGCCGUACAAACCGGCGAAGUCGUAUGAGAGGCUGGAGUUUAUGGGGGACGCUGUGCUCACCUGCAUCGUGGCGAGGGAGGUGUUCUCCUCAUACCCAGAUCUCUCCCCCGGCCCCCUCACGCGUCUCCGCGCCGCCAACGUCGACACCGAAAAGCUCGCCCGCGUCGCCGUGGAGCAUGGCCUCCACCGCUAUCUCCGCCACAAGGCCCCCCAGCUCGAGGCCCAAGUAAAUAUCUUUAAUCAUCAAUUUACUUGUUUAUUUUUUGAAUUAAAUUUUGUGAAGGCCUCGAUGGUUCCUUUUUUUGGCCCCUAGAUUUUGAUCACGACCAUAAAAACGGUGGGCUUCCGUUGGAGCAAAUCGGUAGCUGAAUCUGGGGAAUGGGAAUGGGAUGGCGGUUCUGGGCAAUUGAGAGGAGCGAUUCCGUCUCCGCCAAAACUCUCCACUUUUCGGUGAUUUUUUUUUUUUUAAUUAGUUUCUUGGAGCACUUGUCUACUGCUAUACCGAGAAUUGCUCUCUGCUGAUAUUCCUCGGGAUGGGAACUUGGAUCACGGAAACCCCAUUGGAUUGGGUUCUAUGACCCGGCCCGACGUGGUCCCGUCAGCUGGUACUGACGCGGGACCAGGUGGAUUCACCGGAUUGGGACGAGAAAGUCCUAGGCCUGACCCGUAUUUUAUGUGGGUAAUAUGUGGCUGGGGGAAUCGGUGAGAUUCACCGCAGUUGGGCCAACCAAUUUACCCGUUACGUUAACGUGCGGGCUUCUUGCAUACUCCUGGUCAAUCCAUUUACAUCGAUCAAAGUUAUAAAAUUACGAUUUGGAACUCAUAAUGCACAUGGAAAUAUGUUAUAGAGUAUAAUAUCGCGAUUGAGGCGAGUCGGGACAAACUGAUGACCAGCUUUAUAAAUUGGGUCGGGUUUCAUUGAGUUUGAGCUUAGUUGAGGCUUCAGGCUAGUUUCUUUAUUUCAUACCGACGCAUGCUUUUUUUAAGAAUGGACGGAUAUGAAGGGACACUUUUCGCGCUGAAGAACGAUAAACCUUCCUUCGCGCGAAACCACCGUUAGAUCAUCAGCUGCUCGCUUUGAGAUGGACUGCGGAGCGCUUUGCGAGCUGUUCGGUGGGUGAUCCGACGGUAGUUUCGCGCGAAGGAAGAUUAAGCAUUCUUUCGCGCGAAAGAUACACCACUUUCCCAGAUCUGAGACCUCUUACAAAAGAGAGAGGCGCUUGAGAAUUGGGAUAUUCUUUAUCGCCGAGGUUCGAUUCUCCAAAAGUUCUGUUAUUUAUUUUGUUUAUAUGAUUUUGAUGAUUUUUUAGAUUCUAGAUUUUCCAUACAGAAAAGAUGUAUCUUAUUAAAAUUCUUCUAUAUUUUUUUUUUCCUCUUUGGGAGAGUUCUUUCAUAAUAAAUCGAUUUCUUUUUUUGGAGGUGCUUAGGAUGGCAGAGACUCCAAAAAAAAGAGCACUUUUUUCUAGAGGCUUAAUUUUCAUGAGUCCAUUAUCUUUCUUAUUGUACGAAAUUAGAGUAGAAGGGUUCUGAACUUUGAUGAGGAAAUGUUACCAAUCUUUAUGGAAUGGAAGAUGUACAUCGCUGCAAUUUGCAGCAAAAAGGAUACCGAAUAUGGUUUGUGCGUGCUUUCUGAAGGCCCCUAUUGAUCUGAUGGCUUGCUAACAUACGUUAUUCAUUCUACCAUAGAAUAUCAUAUUUUUCAGAAAGACUGUAGCUAUUGCGGCUGCCAUGCUUUUCUGGUAGGUUCCGGAAUGCGGCAUGUAUCACUAAGUCUUUCUUUGGUUCUCCACUCUUCUAGAUCCAAGAUUUUAUGCAAGCCAUGAUGGAAUAUCCAAUCCAUUCCAACGGCCUUGUCGACCCACCCAAAGUCCUGGCGGACAUUGUUGAAUCCCUCCUUGGAGCCGUAUUUUUAGACACCAACAGCUCUUUGGAAACUGUUUGUGAGGUCUCUCUCUUGUCUCCCUUCCUCGUUCUCUUGUUUCUCUCUAUGUACCAACACAGAAAGAAUGUAUGACUUGAACAGAUAUUUAGGAGGCUAGCUGCGCCACUGAUCAAUCCAGAGACUUUGGGAAAACACCCAAUGAGCGAGCUGUAUGAACUCUGUCAAAAGCUAAAGAUGGAUGUCACGUUCUUGAAGGGCGUGUGGCCUGAAAACCCAAAGAUUGACGUCUUGGUUGAUGGCAAAUUGGUGGGGAGUGGUAACGGCCAGAAAAAGGAAAUUGCUCAAAAUCGUGCCGCGAAGGCCGCGUUGGACAGGCUCAAAGAGACUUUAGGCGACUUGGACUCGACGACACUCGACCAUCCAGACUAAGAUGCCUCCUUAUUAUCACCGAGAUUGGGAUGAGGGCGCCUGGCCUCUGCGUUGAAUGCAUACCAUGUCUUCUCAUCAUGACCGAGACUGAGAUGAUAUUUUUUUAUUAAGAGGUUGAGAUGAUGUUGCCUGACGUCUACGUUUAAAUGUAUAUAAUUCUUGCUGGUUGGCUUCAAGACAUUAGCUACAUGCUCCUUGAGUUUGUACCUCCAUAGUGUAAAGUUCAGCAACGCGCAAAAUGUUCUGUUGUGUAAGGAAAAAAGCUGCAAUUUAUAAAAAUAAAUGUUUACAUGUGUGCAGCUGACCAGACUAGUGUUGGGGAUGUGAGUGGUACUCUAGAAGCUAUUCAGUUCGUUGCUUCUUUAUUCUGAAUCAUGAUCGAUGUAUUCUCUAAAUUAUUUACAAUUAUUUUCAAAUUUCAAAUUCUCUUAAGCUUUCGUUUUAUGUUGUGUAUAAGAUUAGUUCAUGUUUUGUUUAUUGAAAGUCCUAAAUUUGCAAUCACGGGAAGUAGACUGUGGGAUGCAUGAUCUUUAUGGCCUUCUUCUUGUCGGCUCGAGUCUAGAUUUGAAAUUUGUUUAGCCUUUACUUUAUGCCUGGGCUUCGCUUGGGCAUUUGCAUGAAUGACAUCUUGUAGAGUUAUGUUGACGAAAUACCAUCUUAUCUUACCUUUGGCCUAUCAUCCUCGCCCAUUGUUCCCUCAUUGGCCGAUGGCCCGCAAAUGUCCCUACUGAUAUCGCCACCUAUUUGGCUCGCACAGCAAACUUAUUCUAUGUAGUCAAGAAAUACUGCGCUGGAAUUAUUUUGCCAAUUUGUUUAAUUGGUCUGAGAAAGAUUAGCCACGCAGAAACAGCUCUGGUGGAUGGCAAUCCCAAUCUAGUAGAAAAGGAAUUGGAAGUUCAGCCAGGUUUCGUCUCUUCUAUUAAAAUAGAAUAUUUCUUAUGGAUCAAGGUGGAAGCUUCUUUAGUUCUUGUUGUGAAAAUGGAAUCACGGCACAAGCAAUGCACUUUGAUUGUUCGUUCUAGCUAACAACGGCAGGGACCAGGCAACAAUGCCGAAAGGCUUUGCAAUAUUGCAUUAAAUUAUUCACAGCACGAGAUCCCAUUUUGAAUUGGGCAUUAGUAUAGCAGUCACCCUUUUUCCAAGUAGAAGCAAUACUUUCAGAACUGGACCGGAUAUCGGACCGAAAUGAAAAAAAAAUCAGGGGGCAAUCGGAUCAACCAAUUAGCCCGAUCAAUUGACCCAUGACAUCAGCAUAACAUCAUUAUGAUAUAAUAAAUAUAUUUUAUUCUUUAAAAAUAUAAAAAUAUUAAACAUACUCUAGAUGUUUCCUAUCAUUUUCUUUAGCGGAUGAAUUCUAUUCGCCAUUAUAUAUUUAAUAAAUAUAAUGAACUGUGUUCAUCGACACAUCUAGAGUCUCUAAAAAAAUCCCAUGACCAUCGGUGCAGCCAUCUUCAUGUGCGCCAUCUACCGCAAGUUUGGCCUCAGUGAUGAGACCUCCUCCUUUCCCUUCUUCUUUUAGACCGACUACGAUGCCAAGUUCCACCAUGCCAUCCUCGAGGCUAAGCAGGGCAUGUUCUCUGCUGUGGCCUCCCUCUUCGUCAAGACCGCCGUCCACCCCUCCAGCAUCAUCGUCCUCAUCGUCGCCUGCAGCAUAUUCGCCUCCUCCCCCCUCUCUCCUCCCUCAUCGUCCUCCACUUCCGACUGUCCCUCUCCAUCAAGACCUUUGGCCUCCCUGGCAUGGGCUGCAGCACCAGCACCAUGUCCAUCGGCCUCGCUGCCAAAAUCAGAUACAGACAGAAUACCUUUAUCCUAGUAGCCGCACUAUCCGAUCUAUAAUCCAGCUGGUUCAUCACGGAUCGAUUGGUUCAUCGGGUCUUCAUGAUUUUUUACGGGUUGAUAAUCUAUUGAUCAUGUCUAAGCUCCGGAUCAGGAUUAAAAAUGGUCUCCAAUCCGACCGGUCGAUCUGGCCGGUUCUAUCCGAUUCUGAAAAUAUUGAGUAGAAGAGGCCUUCAGAUGGUGUAUCCCAAGUAUUGAAAUCUGCAUAAUUCGUGCAUAAUGGCGGGUCUCCCUCUCUCUCUCUCNCUCNCUCUCUCUCUCUCUCUCUCUCUNNNNNNNNNNNNNNNNNNNNCGGUCGUCCUCCUCUCUCUCUCUCUCUCUCUCUCUCUCUCUCUUUCUCUCGAAAAGAAUAACUCAAUGAUAGAAGUUUUUAUAUAUUACAAUACAAUGCUUAAGGAUUAUAAACUAUACUGUUAUUUCACCUGGAGAUCGCUGUUCACACUCGUUUUUGCAAUUACUUCUACUUGGGCUGCACACAAGACGAGCCGAUUAGAGCUUUGGGUUGCUCCAAGCUUAAGAAAAGCUUCACCAUAAACUUUCAAUAUUGAUUGAAACUUAAAUGAGCCCAAUACAUAGAGAAGCCUCCAUGUGAACUUAUUUUCAAAAAUUUUCAAGCUCAAGGUUUCUUCUCGAAUCCAAGUCCAGCCAAUCUAUGAAUUGUCUAAUUCAUUUGCAACGCUGGACAUUCAAUCCUAAGCACUAGCAUAAAAGGAUACUCUAAUUACAUAAAACACUUCAAGGCAUCAAUUAGAUCAUAAGAAGUAUCAAACUGAUGUAAAGUUGGCAUAACAAACUGAUAUUUGAAACAGUAUGGUUUCUUUGCCGCUGCGGGAUGUCGAGUGGCUUAGCGCACACCAAGUUGGUUUAUGUAAUGGGACAUUGGUUCACCCCACCAUCUGAUGAGACUACAUCCUAGUGUGUGUAUCUCCAUCCACACCACUUAUUAUUACUCUUUUAAUUAAUACACUAAUCUUUGAUGAAAGUAUCUUAUUUUUUUCAUUUUCUCAAAAAAAAAAAAGGUUUAUGCAUAAGCCCUUGCCUGUUAUUUUCAUGUGAGUACUGCUCAGUGAUAAUGACCACUUAGUUCAUCAAGAAUGUGAAAUUGGUGUUAUAUACGGUGAAUUGAUGAUGUUGGCCGAAUCUUUCUUAUGCCCAGCUAAUCACCAAUUUCUACGUCUCCCGGUGAAUUAAGAAUGAAUUAUAACAGAUGAUCCAUAAUUUUUUCUUUUUCAUGAUCCAUAAAAUAAUAAAUUUUUCAUGAUCUUCUCGUUGCGAUGCGCUAUGCUGCUAUUCCUUUUUUUGGUAAAAAAUGUGCUAUCCUAUUUACAGACCAAAUCAUGCAUAAUAUCGGAUAAAGUAACACUUUUAACCGUAACGGAGGAUCUGAAUUUAUCUUCAUGCACCCUAUAUUUUGCACUAAUUUUCAUAAAUCUCAUUAACUACAUUGAUGUACGUUAUUGCACGCAGUGGCAACUUAACUCAAUAAAAUGGACAGUUUGCUUCCAACCAAAUGGUUCGGAUUCGAGUCGUAGCAGGUAUUACGGUUUCAAUUAAAUGUUAGAAUGCAUGUGACUGUGAGAGAGCUAAUUCUGACAAUUCGAACAUGGAGUCUGAAAAUUUUUUUUAAUUUUUAUUCUAUAAUGGUACAGAGAUGAUCAUAGAUCAGUCCAUACAAUUGGAGGAGGAGGAGAAGUCUCAUCUAAAAAUUGCUCUUCGAAUUGAAUGUUGUUGGGAAGAGAUUUUUGUUUCUCUGAUUUGCGGUGGUGCUGGAUGACCAUAGGCCAGUCCAUACGGCGGAGGGGAGAUGCUCCCCCGCGAUCACGUCCAAAGAAGAUAAUUGUGCCGGGUCGCCCCCUCUCAAUCUCGUUUUCUGAGCCCAACAAACUACGUUGGCGUAUGAAAUUGGCACUCCUUGCAUUACUCUUCGUGGAUUAAUAUAUUAUAUGUAUUUAUGGUUGGACGGUUGUCCUGAGUCCGGAGCCUUUUCUGACCAGAUUUGUACUGUUAUUAGUUUUUAUAUGAGAGGGUUUUUAGCAACAUGGGAAAAUACCCUAAAAUGCUCUACUCGAGCUUUUCCCGCCAAGACAGAGUAAAACGCGAGAAAAGCUUUGAAGAACCUAAGAGUGAUGCAAUCCCAUCUCCAGUACCUUACCAAACCCCUUCCUUUACAAACCUGGAACCGAAUGAUUUGGGCCUCCACGCGAAAUGGAUCAUACCUGGAAACUCUUCAUCUCUACUCCUCCAUGCUGAGAUCCGGCGUUCAUGGCGAUGGCUUCACCUUCCCUUUCGUCGCAAAAGCCUGCGCGAAGCUGCGAUCCGUAAGAGACGGCAGGAAGCUCCACGGCCAUGCUCUCUUGAUGGGCUUUCAGGGGAACCCCUUCGUGCAAACCUCGCUAAUGGAUAUGUACUCGAAAUGCUAUAAUCUAUCGGACGCACGCCAAUUGUUUGAUGAAAUGCCCAGCAGAGGCCUGGUUGCCUGGAAUUCCAUGAUCUCUGCCUACAGUCAAGACUUCCAAAUUAACAAGUCGUUUAAACUCUUGAACGAGCUGCGUGCGCUUGGUCUCAGGCCCACCUCUAGUACUUGUGUAAGCCUUGUAUCAGGUUGUGCAGGCUCUGUUGCAGCCUUAAUGCAUGGUCUUUCUGUCCACUGUUAUGGGAUUAAAGUUGGGUUCCAUUCAGAUUUACGGUUUUCUAAUUCAAUUUUGAGCAUGUAUGCCUGGUUUGGCCAUGUUGAUGAUGCAUGUUCGUUGUUUGAUUCUAUGGAGGAAAAAUCCAUAAUCACUUGGACCGCAAUGGCCGGUGGCUUUUUGAGGGUUGGAGAUAGUAUGAACGUGUUUGAUCUCUUUAACCAAAUGCGUGGUGCAAAUAUCAAUCCAGACUCUGCUGCAUUCAUUAAUCUUAUCUAUGCUGGCAUCCUUACAGGGAAAUCGUCGAUAGCCUGUGCAAUCCAUUCUGUAUUGAUUAGUAGUGGAUUUGAUCAGAAAGUAGACAUUGCCCCUUUAUUACUUACCUUAUAUUCAAAAUGUGGAGAAUUAACAUCAGCUCGAGAAGUUUUUGAUUCUAUGCUGGAUAAGGAUGUCAUUUUGUGGACUUCCAUGAUCAGUGGGUAUGUUCAAGGUGGGCUUUCAAGUGAAGCAUUGGUUCUAUCUGAGGAGUUGUUAAGUUCAAAUGUUAAACCAAACAAAGUUACCAUUCUCACAGUACUUUCUGCUUGUGCUGAUUCUGGAUCACUUAAUUUUGGGGAAAAGAUUGGAGAGUAUGUAAUGGAGAAUGAGCUUCAAUCAGAUUUGCGAGUUCAGACUGCAUUGAUAUACAUGUAUUGCAAGUGUGGGAAUAUAGAAAGAGCAAAAGAUAUUUUCGAUGGGGUUUCUGCAAAGGAUAUAACUAUGUGGAGCACCAUGAUAAAAGGUUAUGCUUGCCAUGGGAAAGGCAAAGAAGCUCUUGCCCUCUUUGAGGAGAUGCAAAGGGAAGAGACUGUUAAGCCAGAUGCCAUUCUUUUUACUGAAGUCUUAUUGGCAUGUACCCAUUCUGGGUUAGUAGAGGAAGGAUUGCAAUGUUUCAUUAACAUGCAGAAGGAUUAUGGUGUCGAUCCUAGCAUAGAGCAUUAUUUGUGCAUAGUGGAUCUUCUUGCUAGAGCAGGUCAUUUCGGUUCUGCUUUAAGAUUUAUUAAUAAUAUGCCUAUUCAAGCAAGGAAUCAGAUGUUGUCUCCCUUACUUAGUGCCUGCAGAACUCAUCAUGAUAAUCAGUUUGGAGAGUUGGUAUCGGAACAAUUGAUUAGACUGAAGCCUCAGAACACUGGCAAUUAUGUAUUAAUGUCUAAUGUUUAUGCUUCUUUAGGGAAAUGGAAGGAGGUUAUAGGGCUUAGAAAUUCAAUUAACAGGAGAGGAUUGAUCAAGGAACCUGGAUGGAGUAGGAUUGAGUUAAAUAGCUGAAUGUAUAGAUUGUCUACACAAUUGAUUUAUUUAUAUGAGCACCUCGCUCUAAAAUUCUCCUCUUUCUAAUAUUAUAAACCAAACUUCAUCAAGAGGCAAAGACGAGCAAUUAGAGAUCUUGAAGCAUCAUGAUUUGAUUAUGAACCAUUACAUCCUGUGGAUUGUUUUCUUUCACAAGAAGAAAAGUGUUUACAAGAUUUCUUAAGUCAUUGCUCAUAAUGGUCAUUUGACUAGAAGUUGAAGUGCAAGCUUCUGCAUCAUAAAAUUGCCGAAAACAAAAUAAAGAAAUAUGUGACAAGUUUCAGGACCACUUCAAGGUCUCAAAUUUUAAGCCAGCAAGCAUGUCUUGCAUCAAGUCUUCCCCACAAGUUCUACUUUUUGGUACUCAUAUUUCCUUCUCUGUUUUCUGACUUUCUUUUUUCACCUUUUCCUGAAUUCGAGGUAGACUUGUUCAUCUAGAUAAUCUCGUUUAUCUCAGAUGGCUAUUUGGACUGACUGUUGAUUUUUAUUUGUCUUCUCAAAUUGACAUGAGGCCGAGCAUUGUUUGAUCCAAGGCAGUGGAUCCAAUGUGUGCUCUUCUGUCAUGUGCCACUGCAUAUCUUGAGUACAUGACAUGCAAAUACCAUGGUGAUUUUGCUUUGAUACAAAUUGUGGCUGUGUUGUCAAUAUGAUUGAUUGACAGGUAUGAAAUGAUCGCACUUGAUUUUGCUCCAUAUUGUUCCAUUACCAAAAGUACUGAAGAUUUUAAAUAAAAAGUUUCUUGUUUCAUAGCUAUGGACAUGCUUACAGUUGUUCCGUCCUUAUAUUUGUCUACAUCAUUGAAGAUAAACUUGUUGUGUUAUUUUACACACGCAAACAAAAUAAAAGGUCAAAAAAAUAAAAAAGAAUCUUAAGUCAUUCCUGUGACAGGGGGUUUAAUCAAUGGUUUGUGGUUUAUUUAUGGAAUCUAAAGAAAAGAGAGACAUUUUAGGAGAUUACUGUCAAGGAGAACAUGUCACAGUCUGAAAGCGAAAUCUACUAUUUCUCUGAAAUUUGUAGAGAACUAUGAACUGUUCUAUGUACAUACUUGAUUCAAUGAGUUUUCUGACUUAGAACAACUUAGAGUUGCAUGUUUCACAAAGCAUUUUUUUACUUUUGCAAAUGUGAUGUUUUAGAUAUAGAAAGCUUUUGGCAAGAGAUAUAUCUAUGAAAUGUUUGAUACUUAUCCCAUCUUUUACACACACACACACACACACACACACACACACAGAUCUAUGUAAUUCUUCCAAUAAAACUCUGAAGUGGAUGGUUUUUGGGCUUCUUUUUUUUUCCUAAGAACAAUGGUAGUCAAACUGUUGCUUCCAAAGUCAAAUAUCCUUAUCUGUAUGAAGGGCCAGGCUACUGAUUCAAUCUUCAGACCAUGGAAAUCCUCCACCAUAGUCCACUAGAAGUGCUUCAGUCAAAGAACAAAGAAAAGUUUGAGCCUUGGUUUUCAAAGACAAUCUAUGAUGAUAUAGUAAUUUUCUAUAAAAUAAUAAUGCAGUCAAAUGAUCAAAGUCUAUUUCUUUGAUGCAAAGUUUCUUCUUGCACAUGAUGCUAUACUUCAUCUUUAUCAUUACCAACUUGAGAUAUGAAUUGUCAAAUGUUUCACAUUGGAACAUGACGGCUUGGAUUCACUUGUGUUAGAAAGUCUGGGGAUUUGUGAAGGCUGGCUAUAUAGAUACAAGUUAAACCUCCAUCUCUCAAGUCCCACAAACAAGUUCGGAAGAGAUGGCCUUCACUAGACUCUCUGUGGUCGUGCUUCUCCUACUCACUGGUACUGAACCCUCCUCCCAUAUAUAGGCUACUUAUAUUCUAAUGUACGUGAACCGCCUCUGAGCCAUGAAAUUAUAACAGUUUAUUUCUUUUCAUUGUUGGUAUUUGAUGCUAAAAGGCACAAGUCUUGUUUGGGGAGUUGCAAAUCAGCAUUGGAGCUGUGCUCUGCCCUCAAUAUUGCCUUGCUGUUGACUAUAUGACCUGCACAUCUUCUGGCAACAAGAAGCUGCCUUCGAAGUGCAACUGCUGCCUUGCUCCCAAGGGCUGUACCCUUCACCUCUCAGAUGGUACUGAACUGCGCUGCUCGUGAGAUGACCUUGACUAGCUUAUGCAAGAUACAAGUUCAACUUUUUAUGUAAUGGAUGAACUACAGACCUUAUGCUAUGAUCAUCUUUCAAUAUUAACCAGUCUAAUGGUGUAGAAACCUUUCUCACUUUGUUAUGUAGCCCUUGUGGCCUUAUAUAAAGCUUUCCUUUCUUCUCCUUUUCUAAAUUUUUCUUAAGAAACGCUCUUGGGCAAUGUCGCAAAAUCAUUGAUUUAUCAACAGUUUGUCAGGCGGGUUUAGUGUUAGCUCUUUGACUCAGGACAAGUGAAACUUGAUUAACUUAAAAAGCUAAGUUGACUGCUGUGCUUGCUUGGUUCGGUUCGGGGGGAGGAACCUCUUCCCACCGCAAGCAGUGAACACCAGGGUGCAGAUCAGCAGAUUUGGCUCUGGUUGGCCACGUAGUUCAAUUUAGGAAACUUAAGUGAAGUGGUCUAGUGGAUGCGAUCUAUCUACUAUUAUUAUAUUUUAGUUGUAUAAGUUCACAUAUGAAUUACCACCGAGUGAACUUUUACUUGAGAAUUUGAAUUUUUUACAAAUCUCAGCAGAACAUGCUAACGUAUUUAAGCCAAUACUGGAAACAAACAAGGCUGCCGCAAAUCUUCAUCGUUCAAAUCCAAUUGCAAAGCCUGAAUUCUUAACCGAGUCAUCACUUGAUGGCCUGGUCUGGUAAUUGUAGAGUUGACAUCUCAACUUCAGUUUUCAGGCUGCCUAAUCUGAUAUUCUUUUCUCAAACUGUGGUCGAGCUAAUUCUGAAUAGAUAGCGGUUUGGAUUGAAGUGGUCUAAUAAUUGAGUUCGGUGUCAUAUAUAUGAUACCAUGUCAAUUCAACAAAAUGUAUUAUAUAUACUAAAGAAAAUCUCAAAGUUUACUAAAAAAUUUUGAAAAAAAUUGUAGAACUACUUCAUUCUUAAAUAUCCAUACGGAAUUCUGAACCGAACCGGAUGCUGGAGCAGUCUCCGCUGCUGAUUUAUCCAAAGUCGCGAGAUAUUUGUGUAGACUUCUAAAUCUCCUAACUAUCUUUGAUUUUGGCCCACUCUCAUAGCAGAAUUUCUUUGGAAGGUAAUAGGGGAUGGAACCAUAGAGACAAGCAAGACAAUUUGCAGUAGCAACUAAUCUAUUUAUGAAAAUCAUCACGGAGAAAAAAAAUAGAAGAGAGAGAGAGAGAAAGAGAGAAGAACUAUUUUUUUCUCGAGAUAAAAUUAAAUUUAAUUUAAAAUAGAUUAUCUUUCAUUACAUAGAUUAUUUGUACAUACAAACAUGUAUAUGUUUGUAUAUUGAUGCAAAAGUUGAUAGGUUUAAUUUGUUCUGCGCAAUUUCAAAAGCUACUCUUGUUCAAAUAUUGGUGCAAAUCCAUGUGUAUUGGACAAUCAAAUUAGGUAGUGACCUUCAGAAACAACCUGUACUGUCGGCACGCUACACCAUUUAGUUCAAGCAAAUAUAAUGGAAAAAAGAAAAGAAAAAAGUUGUCUUGAGGGUGCCAAAUGAAAACUUCAACGCCAUCAUGGGAUCGAUAUUACAAGACAGCCCCGCCAUGUACUGCGACGUAAGUCGAACCAAUCCCCUCGUCCCAAAUGACGUAGAAUUUUCUACAGACACUGCAGUCUCCGUGCGCAUACCUUUUGUUUUUUAUUUUUCUUUUUAAGCGACAACCUUAUCCUCACUCUCCGAUUUCCUUUAGGAAACGGUUUUGAUGGCUCAUCAGAUCAUCACCGCUGGAAAAGAGUGCGCGACUUUUGACGAACUCAGUAUAAAAGGACAAAGGCUUUCCAUCCAACCGACGGUAAAACAGCGGACGGUGGAUGGGGUUCUUCUUCACACGCAUCUGUCCGCAAAUCCGUCGUGCCAACGGCCGCAUAAUUCCAGAAUAAGGAGUGUCGGUCGUUGUCCCGCGAAACAGCGUACCGAUUUCUCUCCGCGAGGAUAGAAGUACGCGCCUCCCCCAACCCCCCUUCUCGUUUUCCUCAAAGACCUCCGCAGAGCUCCCACGAUCAAAUCACUCAUCGUCCGCCGCCAGUCCGAUCCGAAUCCGGUGAUCAAUCAUGGUAUGUAGCAAUCCUUUUGCCUGAUUUUAGAUAAAAACUACGGGCUUUGUAAACUUUUGAUGCGUUAGAACCCUAAUUGUUUGGGAAUGAUUAGCUCUAGGGUUUCCAUCAAACUAAUUAGGAUUUUUUUUGUUUCUUGGAGGGAUUUAUUUUUUUAAUUGAAGUUUUCUCUAGAAUUUUCUCUCAUUUUGGUGUAUAUCCACUGCAAUCCUAUGAUUUUUUCUGUUUUCUCUGAUGAAUCAUUCGUUGUUUCUUGAUGGCUAUUGGUUCUUUAACUUCCUGUAAGGAGUAGUUUUUUUUGGGGGGGAAGGUUUUUCAUAAUACAAUGGUUAUAUUAUAAGGCCUUCUUAUGGUGUUCCGAUAAUCAAAAACAGUGUUCUUAAGUUUUCCUCUGGGUUCCUAUAUGCUGUUUACAAAAGCGAAGACAGCUGAGUGGGGAUUGAAGAUUGUGAGUGAUUUAAUGUGUUAAUUGUUUUAAUCACUUAAUUUUUUUCUUUUUUAAAAUGAAGAAAUUGAUUCAGAAUCCAAAACAGAUAUUCCAAUUUUGCAUUACUGAAGUAUAAAUUGUUUUGUAGCUGCCUGUCGUUGGUUGCAUGUUCUUCUUGAAUAUCAUGAGAGGUUUUUCUUUUUUCGUGUAAUAUCCUAACUUACAUUUCUUUUCUGUUAUCCAGUCUUCUCUUGCAGCUGCCAGAGCAGAUAAUUUUUACUAUCCACCAGAAUGGACCCCAAAGCAGGUAUGUCUGUCAUUAUUAAAUUUGAUAGCUUUCUUCUAUUUAUUCAUUAUUUUUUGGUUUUUUGACGGUGGGGGAUUUAUAUUCUGUCUUUACCAGAAUGUUGGUUAUUAAACAUUUUCCCCCUUGUCAAUUCCAGGGUUCGUUGAACAAGUUUCAUGGCCAACAUGCCCUGAGGGAGAGAGCAAGAAAGAUAGACCAGGGCAUUCUAAUUAUAAGGUAAGAUAUUUUGAAGUCACAAAGGGGGAAAAAACCUCAAGCAUCAUGUCUGAUUGGUGCUUCUUUUGUUUGCUAAUUUUGUGAGUUAAUGCUAUGGUUGAACUCUUACUUCUGAUGUUCUUGUUUGGGUAAUUGCAUUUUGGUGAAGGGUCAAGGAUUGAUAGUACUGCCUCUCAUGUAUACAUAAAUGUAAUCAAUGCAAACUUAAAGAUAUCACCAUGUUGGAUCUAAACCAUCUAAAAAUUACCAUUUCAAUGGAUGAAGAUUGCUACAUCUGUAGGGUGUUAAAGCUUGCUGUCUGAUUCUGUAUAUGAAAUAGAUUUGAAUGGGAAAAAAAAAUGAAGGAAUGAUGUUAAUAUUUCUUUGAUUUUAAUAGAUUUGGGAGAAAUGAAGUUAUCGAAAGGGAAGAGUAGGGGAUGCUCCAUGCAAAAAAAGUUUCCUAUGGUAAUUGUUAUAUAUUUGAUGCGAUGAAUGACUGAUGGAUGAAGGCGAAAAAAGGCAAUGGUAGUUUUGCACCAAAGAGGAAUGAUAUUUGAGGACUAGAAGUAAUAUGUAUGUAAGGGCUUAGACGUGAUUUUGUAAGAGAUUAUAGGAUUUCGAGGUGUUUAAUUUCCAGCUUGGGGAGCUAAAUAAGCUUGGAGAACUAAAAAUAAGGUUAAAGUCAGCAAAUCAGCUGACUUAUGGUAAGAUUAGGUUUAUCCAAACUAUGCUAGUUAGAUAUUAAGCACAUAAUUAUAUUUUAUAGUUAAAGGACCUAAUUAUUUUUCAAAUUUAAGAGCUCUAGAUAUACUGAGGACAUAUCAUCAAGACAGAUUUUCUAUGAUAGAAAGGAGUGCCAAAGAGAUAAUAAUUAAGAAUUACAAGGAAAUAAGACAAAUACAAAGGAGUAAUCAUGGAAAGGACCUGGAAAUCACAGAAGUAGCUAAAAGUAAUGUAAAAGAUGUGAACAAAGAUGUAAGUUGAAAAAGGGAAAAAAAAGAAAGAAAGAAACUUUAGAGAAGAAAUGUUAUUGUUCAAUCAGUAGCUAGCUGAAACUCACUCUUGCUUAGCCUUCUGUGCCUUGCAGAGAAAGGUUGGUUUUCUGAAUAUUCAUGUGUUCAAAUCCAACACCACCAACUGAAAAGUGAGCAGCAAGAGUGGAAAAGGAAUGAAUAUUAGGGCAUCUAGCCUCUGAUCUCAAUUAAACAGACCAAAAUCUGCUUCAUAUACAGCCCUAAAUAACUGUAGUUUAUUGAAGCCCCUCAUUACUAAGCAAGAUACACGAAGAUAUAAUGGAAAAAUGGUGCUACAUGUUGGAAUGAUGUGGGAAAUGAAUAACAGUGGAAGAGAGAGGCCAUGAGUAAGAGAAGCAAGAGAAGUAAGAGAUAUGGGGCACACAUUUGUGGAGUGAAUGAAAAAUGACGGCAUUCAGACAUUAGCUGCCACAUCAGCACCCUUAAUUUAUUCUCUCUUGGAAGGCCUUAGUCCUUUUUUUUUUUAAGUACCUAUACAAUCCGCAUACAUAUGCAGAAAUACACAUAGAAUUGAACCCAUGUUGAACUGAUUAUGGCAAGGGUUGCCUGGAUGUCUUGAAACCUGUGUAUCACUGCACUGUCCAGGUGACAACCUGUAACAACAAUUAAGUGAAAGGGGUUUGAAGCAGUUCUGUUUUGUGUUUUUGUUGGGGCUGGGAGAAAUGAUUUGGAGACAUCACAUUUUGGAGAACAUGAAAUUUAGGAACCCUGAAUGAAGUAGAAUCAAUUAGCUGACUUUUGUUCAUGGCAUUAGCCUUAUUUACAUCAAUGAUCCUGUUUCUGAUAUAUAGUUUUGUCUUCUUUCUGUAUUUUGGAUUUCUCUAUAUUCAUUUAUGCACUUUUCGUGGUGAUGUUGACUGAUUCCUUGGACUCCUGUCUGUUUAGCCAGGAUAUAUAUAUAUAUAUAUAUAUAUAUAUAUAUAUAUAUAUAUAUAUAUAUAUAUAUAUAUAUNNNNNNNNNNNNNNNNNNNNAUAUAUAUAUAUAUAUAUAUAUAUAUAUAUAUAUAUAUAUAUAUAUAUAUAUAUAUAUAUUAAUGUCUCUUUGCGAUUGGUCAAUUUAUUAUUCUUAGCUGUGACGUCAAUUAGGUUAUAUUAUGGACAUAGGUGAUUGUAAUUCUAUCCAUGAAAACAGCCCUUCUGAAAAAAUAAAAAAUGAGCAUUUUCUAUGAUAUGUAUUGAUGUAUAUAUUAUAUUUCAAAUAAAGGCAUCAAUUAUUAAAGUUUUACUUUCUCAAGUGAGGUAUUGGUUUAAAAGAUGCAACUUUCACAUGUAUCUGAGUAGGAUAAACUUCUGUCGUGAUUGUUUUUUUUUUUUUGGGAAUGAACAAAAGCAAACAGAUUAAUGAAGAUGCAAGUUCAAUUUGUCUUCAACACUUUGACCUGGUUUGACAUAGUAAAACUUUAACAAUUUACUACUUUAUGUGUGCCAGUUUUUAAUAGUUUCUACAUCUUCUAAUCCCAUAUCCAUCUGCUCGACUAUGAUCUUUUAUUUUUCAGAUUUGAGAUGCCAUUCAAUGUCUGGUGCGGUGGAUGCAAUUCAAUGAUUGCCAAGGGUGUAAGGUUCAAUGCUGAGAAAAAGCAAGUGGGAAACUAUUAUUCAACGAAGGUACCUUGUUUAACUACUUAAAGAUAUGUAUCAAUCAUCCAAAUAUGCUGAACAAGCUGAGUUCCAAAACCAGAUAACUUACCUUGUCUCAUUGUUGUACUUGAUUAUGCCAAAUUGAGGCCUUAUCAAGUGUUGAUCGUUUUUUACAAUCAAAGAUUAUUUAGUUAGAUUGUUUUUAGUGUAUGUGACAAUAAAAUAAUUUUUUUGUGCAUAAAAAUAAUUCAAUAAUACAACAUGACCAUAUUCAUGCCUUACUGAAGAACACAACAAUAAUAUUUACACUAAUAUAUUUAUGCCAUAUUGAAAUGCAGUUAUUUGCAGGUUCUGUAAAAGUCAGUUGCUCCAAUCUUGAUUUAGUUUCAGGGUGUGACUCAAUGAUUUGUCAAGUGCCAUGCAUUUUACCUGCUAAAAUUCAUUCAAGUUGGCUUAUCAUGUUCAAGUCCAGCAGCUUGGCCCACUCGUUCAUAUCUUCAAUUAUAGACUUUUAGGAAACUAAGAAUGGAAAAUCAGAGUACCAUGACCUGAUGAACUUUAAAACGACGCAACAUGAAUAUCCUACUACUAGUUGGCAAUGUUAUUCAUAUUAUUGUUUUUAAUCUGUUCUUGGAGUUGUGCACUCUUAUCCUUUGCCUACAUGAUUGACCUGCUGUUUGAUCUGCAUAUUCUCAAGACACCGCAGAUGGAAAUAGAUAGAAUGGUUUUAGUUUUCAGAAUUAUGAGAUUGAGAAAUUUGGUUAUCCUAUACAUGUUAAAAAUUGUUCGUCUCUUUAGUAUAGCUUGGAUCAAGGAUCACCGACUCAGAACUAGACCCUAUGUUGGCUGGUUGGUGGUAUGAGUCAGUACUCUUCCGUGCCGGAUCAUAUCGGGUCCAAACCAAUACGGAAACGAGGGAUGAACAGGGGAGGAAAAGAGAGUGAAAGAGAGAGGGAGGGAAGAAAAGGGAGGCAAAUAGAGAUGCCAGCAGUGGCCACUAGAGGGCUGCGGAAGCCUCUCAGGCUUUGUAGUCUUCCGCAAGAGAAAAUGGAAGAAGAGAGAGGAGGCGAGAGAAAGAAGAGGAGGGAGCCGAAGGUGGUGGGGAGUAGAGUUAUCAAUUUGGGUUGGGCCCAUCGGGUUGGCCCGUCCUGCCAUGUAAAUGGGGUGGGUUGGAUUCAUAUUUUAGCAACCCAUUUAAAAGCGGGUCAAAUGACCCGCCCCGUUUGGGUUGGCGAGUCGGGGCAGGCUGGUCUGUCUAUUAUGUUUAGUAAAAAAAAUAUUACCAAAUCUCCUUGAGGUCUUGACCCUUGUCUGGUUAUCCGCCUAUUUUGUUUAGUAAAAAAUUACCAAUGCUUCAGAGAUCGUGGAGAGGGUGCGGAGAGGAGAAAGAAGGGUUAACAUUUUUUUUUUUUGUCGGGAAAAUUUUGGCAGGUUGGCCUAUUUAACCCAUAGCCCAUGACAGGUCGGGUCGGGUUAGAGUUUGUCCAAUCCGCUAGUUAAACGGGUCAGCCCGCCCUGCCCCAUUUAGAGGUGGGUUUGGGCGUGUCGGUCCGUCUUGAUAGCUCUAGUGGAGAGGCGGUUUGGUGGCCACCAUGGUUGUCGGACGGCCUAAAAUUAUCUUGCGGCCACCGUGGGUAUGAGACAAGGGUUCGCUCAUCAUAUUUUUUUUUAAAAACACGACGAAACAUGGACGACCCCUGUUUCGAACCUGUGGUGGCCGUGGGGCAAUUUUAGGCCGUUCGGCAUCCUCCCAGUCACCUUCCGCUCCCUCCUCUUCUCUUCCUCCUUCUCUCUCUCUAUCUCUCUCUUCUCGCAUCUCGUGGAGGAUCGAGAGCUUCGGAGGCCUCGGCAGCCGCUUCUCCUUUCGUUCCCUUCCCUCCUUUCUUUCUCUCUCUUCCUCCCUUUUCUUUUUCCUUGCUCCAUCUUCGCCGGUGUUCUGAAUUGAUCAUCCAAACUACACCGGUUAGCCGCCGGUAUGGUUUGGUAUGCUCCGAACUAUCCAGUUAGAGACGUUUUGGCGAACCCUAGCUUGGAUAGUUGUUACAUUGUUCUGGGAAAUCACGCUUUCCAGUUUGAUGAUAUAUGCAUCUUUUCUUUGUUAUCUCUGAAAUUAGUUUUCUUACCUAGUUCCUUUGCUUUCCUACCUAGUGGUGUAGUGCCUGAAAUAUAUUUUAUGCUAAACUUGGGUACCUUUAGCAUUUAGCAUGCAUGGAAGUUGUUCUCUUAUUGAACUGGUGUGGGUAUAUCAUCUUUGUCAUUUUUCAGAUUAGUACUCUUUAUUUUGUGAAGAAGAUUUUUUUCCUUUUUUGGGUCAAGGUCAGCUAACCAUAACUAGAGUUCAUCUAAGAUUAGUAUGUAACAUAAAGGAAUGGGAGGAGAACUGCUAGGAAUUUGCUCAGGGCUGCAUUGGUUAAUUUAAAUAGAUGCUUAGACUCUCCAUAUUUUCCUCCUAUCUGCACCAUCUGCAUUUCACUAAUUACCAAGUAGCAUGUGAUUAUGUUUUUCUGAAAAUGAAGUCACGGGUAUCGAGGGUAUUGGAAACCUUUUUUUACCUUAUUUCACACAUUUUUCAUAUUUUACCUUGUUCUUUAAAUGGUGAUUUGGUCUCGCAAUUGUUGGUUUGUAUAUUCUUGUUUGAACUCACCUAGAUUUGUCAUGUGGUAUCUAUGUUUGUAUCAGAUAUGGAGCUUUACCAUGAAAUCAGCAUGCUGUAGGCAUGAAAUAGUUAUUCAGACAGAUCCAAAAAACUGUGAAUAUGUCAUCAUUCAUGGGGCUCAGCGCAAGACUGAGGACUUCGACAUUGAGGAUGCAGAAACAUUUGCUCUUCCAGUAGAUGAAGGUCUGUAAUCCUUUUAUUAAUAAUAAAGAGUAUAAGCUGUUCCAACUCUCCGCUGCAGGUUUUUUCGCAGUUUUUUGUUUUUUAAUUUAUCCUGGUUAUAUUUCUCAUGGAAAAAUAUGUUGCAGAAAGAGGCAAGCUUGCAGAUCCUUUCUACCGUCUUGAGCAUCAGGAAGAAGAUCUGCGGAAGAAGAAAGAAGCUGAGCCAUUGCUGGUCCGCCUUCAGAGAGUCUCAGACAGCAGGCAUUCUGAUGACUAUAACCUUAACAGAGCUCUCCGUGCUCGUCUCAGAGUGAGAUAUCAGAUUAAUUUAUUACCAAAUUUCAUGUCUAUUAUAUUAGCAUUUAGCAUUCUGCUUUUGGAUUCUUAUUUCUAUAAUUUAUUCUUGUCCAUUUUAGGGUCAGAAGAGAAAGGUUGCUGAAGAAGAGGAACAUGCAAGAAAGCUUGGCCUUGGAAUACGCCUUCUUCCCCCAUCCGAAGAAGAUGCGGCAGGUGCAGCUGCUGCAAGAUUCUCUUCAAAGUUUGAUCGGAAUAGGAGGGAAAAGCGGGCAGCAAUUAAAGCUUCCUCCAUUUUUCCAGAGUCAUCAAGCUCUGUAUCAGGGAAUAAACGUGUAGAACUCGAGUUGAAAAGGAGGAGAAUAAAAGCUGCUGGUGCAUCUGCUUUAUUGGCUGGUAGGGUCGAGCCAUCAUCAUGGCAGCUUAGCGAAAGAUCUGUGAGAAGACAGCAUGGAAUAUCAGUGGGUUCAAUCCGCAAAUAGUUAUAUGAAUGCAAUUCCAAUUUCGAGCAGAGCUGCAUGAUAACAAGAUAAGGCUGGAGAUCAUCGGCUCUGACCUGCAAAAUUGUCUGAGAAUCAGCUCGAGGAAUUUGAUUACAAUUUCAAGUAGUGCUGUGUGGUCAGUAAGUAGGGCUGGAUGAAUCCUCUCUCCAUGCAUUUGCAUUCCUCUGAUAAGGAGAACUGUAAGAUUGUAUGCAAAUGGUAAGGAAGAUAUUCAUCUGGAUUUUUUGUCGUCUGAUCUUUUUGUACAUAAUUAUUGCUAUGGUGUCUGUAUCCUGAUGACUGUAUAAUCUAAUACAACUGUCAUGAGUGCGGAGGAUGUAUGAUUGCGGUGGGGGAAGCAAUACCCGAGAUUUUAUUUGCUUUUGUAUUGAAAUGGGUGCUCUCGAGUUCUGAUUAAUUGGUCUAUUAUUGAAAGCCUUCUUCCUUGGGGAACCAAAGCUGCAACACUCCAAGGUAUUAAUUGAAUUUAAUGUCGUUUCGAACAAGUAUUGUAGGGUCCAAAAAUGUGAUGAGCCAUGUCUUCAAACGUAAUGGCUGUAAGUUCCACAGGUUAAGAUCAUUUUGCUUGCUGUUAUCAACCAAAUUAUGGUCUAGGCGAGUUAUGUAUGUAAACUCUUGGCAAAAGCAGCUUGCGAGAACGUGUUCCUCAUUCUUUUCGCAUUCCAGCUUCUUUUUUUUGGGUUACAUGGCAUUCCAGCUUUCAUAACACCAUGAUGAAACCAGGAAUCUGGCUAUAUGAUCAGUGAGGAACAAUUACAAAUGUUGUUCCUUGGAAGUACCUGUACAGGACGCUAACAAAUGAAAUUGUAGUUUAAAAAACUUAUCAUUAAAAAAAGAAAUUGAAGUUUGCCAAAAACUUUGGAUCGCGCUAUUUUUGUUAUUAUUUCUCGAGAUGCUGCACCCACUGUACCUUUUUGUUUUUUUGUGAAGAAAAUAUGAGGGAAAAAUAUAUCUGCAUCUGUUCCGACCGCAGCAGCUUCCCUCUCCAAGGCUGAGUCGCCUUCCAUUGUCUCCGGUCAAUCUUUACGUGUAUGAGUCGAUCCUUUUCUUCUUGUAUUCAAAGACUAUACUUUUUAUCAAAAAAAAAAAGAAAAAAAAAGAAGAGAGAGAGACAAUACCUGCUAAUUGUUUUUGAAGAAAGGGUAACCACAAACAUCAGCCGUGACAAGGUUCAACAGCUGAGAUUAUAAAAAUAUCUUGCCGAACGAUGUCCCUGUCAUCAUUGCCUCGUUGCUCACCAGUCCACUGGCUGAUUGCCUUAAAUUUGUGAGUACGAAGGAAGCUAGCACUGUGGACAGCUGAGGCGACGUUGUUUUUGUUUUUAUUUGUUCCACCAUCAAAUUCAAUUAUAGCGACCCCAUACAACGCACAGUCUUUCCCGUGAAUUAUAAAAAUAUCGCGGCUUCAGUAUUUGUUUACCGACCAUAUUUGUAAAAUAUUUUAUUUAAUUUUACUUGCACUGGAUCAACACGAGGCGCAUCAAGAAUAUUUGUAUAAAUAAUCUCAGAACCAAAACUAUCCUCAUCUACCAAUCAUUUGGAUACAUCAAGGAUGUAUUUGCUUAGGACCAGAAUUAAAAGAAAAAAUAAAAUUAAAAUAAAAUUAAAAUGAUCAUAUUCAUAAUUUAUGAUUGAAAUUAGAAUUAAAAUUAAAAUAAAAUUUAAAUAAUAGACGAGAGUCUAAUUUGAAUAUUGAGAGAUUGAGAUAUUAAAAAAAAUUUAUAAAAUAAAUAAUAAAAUAAAAUAAAAUUAUUUUUAUUUUUAUUUUUAUUUUAAAAUUUAUUUUUUUUUCAAUGAAAUAUAUUUUAAAUAAUUUUAUUAAAAAUAAAUUCUACUAUUUGAUAACCACAAGACCCUUGUUAUCCAGCGGCGGCGGCCAGCCCCGAGCAAUCAUCUCCAAAAGGUUACCGAACCCCGGGUCUCCUCGGGAUGUAAAGAGAUCAUUAUUGCCCCCGUGAGCAAGUUUGUCUGGAGGAUUUCAGAUCCCAACUCCUUUCCACUAAACACUCCCUUGAAAAUAACACCGCUGCAUCAUUAUGGAUCCAUUAGCUAAACGGCAGCUUGCAGCAGCAGACGAUCGAGAUUUGCCCGGAGGAAGCCUGGUACCUAAAGAAGUAAUAAAUAACAUUGCCUAAAAUUGCUAGCGACCGAGUUAAAUGUCGCUUGCCAAAUUUCACCCAAUACAUCAAAACCUUAUUGAUUUCUUUACCAAAAAAAAAGGAAACUUGGUUAUCUUAUCCAAAACAAAGCUAGACAAAAUUAAAGCGUGCAUCAAAAAAUAUAGUAGGAAAUUGAAUGUCACCACCAUGGAUCACCCACCCAAGGGUUCCGUGGAUAUGAAGCUAUACAUCACCAUAUCCCUCCUACUUCCUUUAAGACUCGUAUACUUUCGGAGCACUCCCUCCUUGCGAAAGCCAACCUUCUCCAACACCCUCUGAGAUGCCUCCUUGGUCACGUCCACCAAGGCCUCCACCCUCUCCAGACCUUCCACCUCCAUGAAUAUGGAGCCCACCACAAGCCUCACCUUUGCCGUCGCGAUCCCCUUCCCCCAGUACUCGGACCCCAGCGCGUACCCGAGCUCGCCCCGGCACCGAUCGUUGCCGGACCCCAAUAUGACGGAGAUGGCCCCCACGAGGCGGCCGCCGACGCAGAUGGCGCGGAACCAGGGGUGGGGCAGCACCGUCUCCUUCAUGUACUUGAGGAGGCCAUCCUUGUUAGUGUAGGUGUCCCAGCGGCAGAAUUUGCUCACCUUGUCGUCGGAAGCCCACACCAUGAAGUCGUCCACGUCCGAGAGGACGAAGGGCCGGAGGAGAUCUGCCGUGUCGCCUUCUCGUUUUCCUCCGCGGUCAUCCCUUGUUGCAUUGUGGCUGGCCGCCGAACCUGAAGAGGACGAGCUACAUCACAUCACAUUAUUUAUAACCAUGUGAAAGAGCUUUUUCUUUUCCUUUCCAGAGAGAGUCUUCCAUGAUGGAUGCGGCCGCCUCAUUUAAAUCCAUGAUGCAAAGGGAACAUGGCACCUGGCACAGGCCUAGGUCUAAACGAAUAAUACCCCAUGCGCGCAAGUAUAGAAAUCCAUCCAAACUAUUCGGCCUCUUGACCGUAAUAAGAAUCAUUUGCAUUUUCAUUUUAAAAUUUAACUCUCAGCAAUCAAACAUGUUCUAAAUAAUUUUAUAAAAAUAAUUUUUCUCUCUAUUUGAUAGCCGGCCACAAGAUACUUAUUAUCUAGCAGCAGCGGCGGCCAGCCUAGCAAUUAUCUCCCAAGGUUACCGACCCCCGGGAUCUUGCUCAAGAUGUAAAGAGAUCAUUAUUGCCCCGUUAGUAAGUCUGUCUGGAGGGUUUGACAAUUGAGUGCGCCCUUGCUUCCUUGAACGUCAAGGAAGGAACUCUCAUUGGAAAAAUCUCGUCCAACGCGGAGCUCUGUUCCUCCCUCCGCAUAAAAUGGCCCCGAAAAAGCUCAACGCCAAAUAAAGAAACCCAAUAAAUGGAGCCGCAAGUAAGCCAAUCCACCUCCCAUUUCAGCUAACUACUCCACCCCAUCAUAUUUCUUAUGUCGGCCCAUUCAGCUCAAGCUGGCAUGCCUCUAAACCCUCUCCCUCAGAUCUCCCCACCACAUGACUCCCCCCUCAAUCCACCAUCCUUCUUCUUCACCCCCUCCAUGGCUCUGAGGAGACCUCUUCUCACUUCUCUCCUCCUCUUGUUCAUCCUCUUGCUCUUGUUCCAUGGGUGGAACCAUCUCAAACCUCGGGCAGCCGCCCCCUCGUCGGUCCCUCGCAAGGUGGUAGCGGCCAAGUUCGAUUUCUCCGCAUUCCACUACACAAGACAUUCUCAACACCACCAUCAACAUGGGCAAGCACCGCAUUCUACCGUCGUAGAGGUUAAACCGAGUCCGGAUGAAGGUGACGAGAUCGAUCCGCGGUAUGGCGUCGAGAAGCGUAGAGUCCCGACGGGCCCGAAUCCAUUGCACCACUAAAUAAUGUUAUCGUGGCCAUCAUAUUUGCAUGGAAGGUGCAGAAGAAGGAGAUAGAGAUGACCGAGGGAUAGCUCAUAAAGUUCUCUCUAAAUCAGAUUCUUUAUAGAUGGAAAGGCAGCUCGAUUCACCUCAAUAAUUCUGUUGCGAUGUGUAUGUAUGUUGGCUGAGUAUUUAUAUGAACCAUAUAUGUACUAUCAAAGUAAUGUGAAAUUCAGCUCUGUUCUUGCCAAAGUCUGUAUGUCUCAAAGAAACAAUAGAAGUAAGAAGGGAGGAAAAAAAAAAAGACUUUCUUAAUAAAGAGACAAAAAAAGUAUAAUCAAGCGUAUGGUUUGUGAUUAUAUGGUAUUGGCUUGCUUGCUCGCUGGGGGAAAUGUGUCAGUGGUCGUUUAUAUUUUACGUUUCACUUUUGUAGCCUAACGAAUGAGUAACGGGAGUUGAUCAACAGAAGAAGAAAAAAAAAAAAAAAAACGAAUGAGUAACGGGGACGGCACGGUGUGGCACGAACCACCAGUCAUUUCGGAAUUUAGCGUGGUAAUAAUGGUUGUGCGGAAUACGUGGCCAUUAAACUAGUUGUUGACUUCUAGUAGUAGGGUCCACAAUAAAGGGCCCGGAUCAGCUAGUCGGUGGAAACUCGCGCAACGUGACAUCCCGUUCUGGUCAAACGCGCGUCGAAUUUUUAAUCUUCCAAAACAUCUCGUGAUCGUUAUCAUUAUCAUUGUUAAUUAGUAUUAGUGUUUGAAAACUUGGCAGGAUGUUGUACGUGUGUUAUUUUCUUAGAAUUAGAUGCUAUAAGUAUUGGGUAUGAAUGGGGGAGUUGACUGUGCUAAUUUAUGGUGGAUGGAGUGGUGAUGAUGGCGUUUCGAUGGAGGCUUUGCACCGUUGGCUUUUGGAGGUGUGCUCAUGGGUGGCAUACCACUUCACGAGCUAGUGAUUUUAUAGGAUAUGGAGUCAUGUGAUUGGGGGAAAGAGCAAGGGAUUUCACCUACCACCCGGCCGGUGCCGAAUGGGAUGUCUAGCCGACUUAGAUAGUAGCACCAUUUGAUAGUGGAGAUCCUUCUUUUUUCUUUCCCCUCUCAAGCAUUGACUCUGGCUAUGUUCAUUAUUUUUAGCUUCUAGAAUUAAAAAGGAAAAAAAAAAGCUAUUCCUUAAUUUACUUGAAACAAAGAGUGUCAUAGUGGAUUCUAAAUGCUUUCAGCUUGGGGAAAACCAAUGACCAGACUUAGCCAAAAAUUGGUUAAUAUAUAUACAUCUAUUGAGAAGAAAAUGAUGGCAAGUCGCUGAGGCAGCAAUUUCAAGCUUCAUGGAGUUAAAUUCGCCAGUUGUAUCAAUUAUUUGACCUUUCGACUUCAUGUGGCCGAACUGCAUCAAAACUACUGGUCCAAAAAAUAGAUGUCUUGAUCUCUGAUCACCACAUUGGCUACAAAAGCUGGAAUUCAAGUUCUGGACAUCAUCAAAGCUCCGCUUCAGUUAUCCUAGUUUCCAAUAUAUUUUGGUUUAAGGUGGCAGCGUUGCCAAAUUCAUAUAUUCCAUUGUGAGAUUCUGGUUGCAUUGAAUAGUGUGAAUGUGUCGAUCGGUAACCUUGACAAUAAAACGCCUCAUGGUGGUUCUUAAUAAUGGUGGGUCGUUAUGUAAACGUGAGGUGGUUCAUUAAACAAGCAAUCUAUGAAAUCAUAAGCACUGGAAUGUGGAUCUACAGUUAAUUGGCUUAAAUGGUCAAGUGGCCUUCUCUGCGUGUAGAUGGUUGGAAAUUAAUGCACCAUCCAACUUUAGAUUGCAACUUAGGAGGAGGGUGACCACCAAGGCAUGGCCAAGUUCAUCAUAUACAAGGAAAACUUAAAUCGACAAACUUUGACGAGAAGAGGAUGGAGCACAUGAGGGGCAAGAAAGGCACCUGACAUUAUAAUUAAAAUAGCAUUUAGAUAUCCGACUAUUACUUCAUAACAUGCCUCUUGGCAUUACUUAAACUCAAUGCUGCAAAAUUCAAAUCGCUUAACUUGUCUACAUCGUUCAUCAAGUGGAAUCGGUCAAAAUAAAUAAAUAGAAAGUUGCUCGACUCAGAAUUCGGAGCUACUUGUGACAAUAGGUAAAUGUCAUGCACAUCAACCGGAUAUGAUUAAUUAGAUCUAACUACCUUGGUGAAUUGCAUCAAACAUGCAUUUUCAUAAAAAUCCAUUAAACUGUAUAUAUAUUAGCCCUGUUUUAUGCAAAUUGUUUGAAGAUACUUCUUUAUUGGAGUUUAAUACAAUAAAUGCGAGCUUAAAUGAGUCCUUGCACCUCAGAUGGGUGAAGUGGGUGAAAUCACGAAUAUGGUGUGAAAAAUUAUUGGUUAGAACUGUAACAGAUACGGUGCUCAAAAUUAUUGGUUAAAACUAUUCUUUCAAGUGUAUCUCAUAUUAUCUAAGAAAGUAAAUAUUUUUUUAUUCAAAAUAGUAAAAAAAUAUCUGAUUAAUUAUAGUCAGAAAUAUUUUUUUUCUAUUUAAAAUUUUCUAUCAAACUUACAUAAUGAUGUAUUUUUUUUUUUUAUAAUAGAUGAUGUGUUAACUCCUUAUUGGAUGAUGUAAGAUACACAUAUUUUAAAAAAAUUAUUGAUUAAAAUCAUUUUUUCACGUAUAAUUUAUACCAUUCAGUAAAAAAUGAUUACAUAAUUUCUAAUCGAUAAUUUCUCCAUCUUCUAACGGAUCAUCCUCUACGCUACUGAUCCACGUAAUCUCAACAAGGCCCCACAUAUUUUCUCGUGAAGGAAUAGAGAUGUUCUCUCGCAAAAGCAAAAUAAAACGACAUACAUGGUGAACCAGGGCUUCCGAGAUGACCCCUCUCCAUUUCUCCCCUCCUAUUCUCUCAUGUUCCCCUUCUCUCUCUAUGCCAUCGAUCCGAAGAAACCCUAGAAAUCCCUCAGAGCUCCAAUCGGAGGACAGGCAGAAGAAGUCUCGCCGCGAUGCGGAGGGUCGCUCUCAUCGCCGCUGCCGCCUCCUCGUCCUCUCGGAGUCCGAUCCACAAACCCCCUCCCUAUGGGAUGAUAUCUGCUCGCUCACCACCUCCCUCAUCGGCCACGCCUUCGCAUCAGUCUUUCCAUGUGACCUUUGAAGUCAAGGUUCCCCCUCACCAAGGAAUGUAUCAUCACUAAGAGACGCUUUGGGCGGGGGGUUGGUGAUCCAAACAAUGGCAACCGAGGUCCGACGAUGGCCGGAUACGUUCGGGACUCGACAUGCUAUUAUUAUUAAUAUUAUUAAGUCUCGGAUGAAGACGGAGAUGCGCUCAAAUUUAAAUUGUUGGAUCAAUAGAGAAUGGUUAACAGAGAGGGUAACAAGAAAUUGGUAAAGGAGAAUCUGGACGGAUGGAGUCCAUCAAUUACUUGAGCGCUUUAACUAUGAUAGUGUCUGCAGUGAUUCCUCGCAGUCGGGCUUGAACAAAUCCCGGCAGGGGCUGGCCGUGUCAGAUACUAGUUCAGACUUGGUUUGUUCAUUUAACCACGGGGUUAUUCCUUGUAGUCAGUCUAGCAAUCAGCAGACCUGGUUUUGGGAUUUUUGUUUGUUUUUUGAUCGAGUGCUGCUUCCCAACACCAUUCAAGCUUUCUAUAAAUCUAUCUAAUAGGUUGACGCAGAGUUGGUGAUUAUGGAAUACACAGGAUAGAGGGAUGAAUUUGCCCCCAUUGCCUCAUCCAAAGUUGGUGGUUGAAAAGUAAAAGAAUUUUUUGGGUAUAUAUUUUUUUAAAUAUUUAAAUUCACAUAAAUAUCUUCAUAAAAAUUUACUAUAUACAUAUAUAUAAAAACUAUAAAUAAAUUCUUAGCUCUACUUUCAACUUAAAAGCAGCUCUCUAAAUGAGCUUUAUAUAAAAGUACCUAUCCAUUCUAAACAUAAGUUAAAAGCAACUAACCAUUUUGGCUGAAAUUAUUCUUAUACCCUUGUACCUUUUAAAAUACUGUAGUAUUACAUUAUCAUAGUGCGGUAUUUUUUUACAAUAAGACAGUAUUACAUCAUAUUAGUGUAGUAUUUUUUUAUAAUAAUGCAGUAUUUUUUUAUUAUAUUAUAUUAAUAUAGUAUUUUUUUUACAAUAAGAUAGUAUUACAUUAUCAUAGUGUAGUAUUUUUUUAUUAUAGUACUACUUUACAACAAUACAGCGUUACUUUAUAAUAGUGUAAUAUAACUUUAUAAUAGUAUAGUAUUAUUUUAUAAUAGUAUAGUGUUACUUUAUUAUAGUGUAAUAUUAUUUUAUUAUAAUAUAGUAUUACUUUAUAAUAGUAUAGUGUUGCUUUAUAAAUGUAAGGGUAAUUGGGUCAUUUCAUCCAUUUGGGUACCUGCUUUUAAAUUAUGUUUCAAAUGGGGAGAAUUUUUUACUUGAAACUUAAGUGGAUAGUUACUUUUAAGUUCAAACGUAAUUAGAUAUUUCUCAUUAAUUUUUUCUAUAUAUAAAUAUUUUUAUAAUUUUUUUUUACAUAUCUAUCCAUAAAGAUAUUUUAGUCAUUUAAAUUUUAAAUUAUUAAUUUUUUAAUGACAUCAGAUGAUGUUGAUAUAUAUGCAAAAAAAAUAAGAAAAAAAAGUAUAUAUACAAAAUAAAUAUUUUAUGAAGAUAUAUAUGUAAAUAUCAAUUUUGGAAGAAUAUUUACAUAAAUUUAAAAAUUUUAAAAUAUAUAUAUGUAAAAAGUUUUAAUUAAAAUGCUCUCAAAUAUAAAAAUACCGACUCUUCAUAAUCCAUAUGUACGGCUUAUAAAUGAAAAAAAAAAAAAGAAUAUGAAAGCAUAGCUAUUGUUUCACAUGACAGUAACACGUGGUCCUUGGUUUUUAAUAUUUAAAAAAAGGAAGACAUGGGGUUCCAUCUCUAACUGCUCUAGGAAAGUCCAGCAAAAGUCCUCUUUGGGAGUUUGCCUCGGCCUGAAGCCACCCUCUCUUCUCCAUGGACAUGUUGGCUUUAAUUUUGGAGAAAUCAUAGUGAUGCAUAUUUAGUCUCACAAUGAUUAUACAGUAGAUAAAAUCUGGAUGUUUAUGUAGGAUCAGAAAAUUCAACUAAUAUAUUCUAAUUAAUCUUUUUGUGUAAAAUUUUGACUUUUUGUUACAAGAAUCAAAGUAGAUACAGCCAAUGAUAAAUGUAGACCAGAAGAUACUUCUAUUAUUGAUGCAGGCGAGUUUUGCCCCAAGGUGGGUCUAUUUUCCAGUGCAUAUGGGCUGCCAUGAUGGUGCACAGUGCACUGUAUGGGUUGGGAUGUUUGGUGGCCUGGCCCGUAGCUGAGGAACUGUGGGAGGGCCUUCCAUAUGCUCAGUUACCUACUAUGGUUGUUGUUUCAAUAACCAAAAAAAAAACUGUUUUUAGAUUUAAACAAAAAGAACUAUAUUUAUUUACAAGGUCUAGUCAUCUACAUUGCUUUAAAUAAUAUGUAACAAGUAUCACAGAAUGUAUUAUCGAUUGCCAGACCAAAAAACAGUGGAUGUUAUGUGAUUAUGUCAUUUUAUUUGCUUAUGUGAUUGUUCAUAGGCUUGGCAUCAACAAUUGAAAUUAAGUAUAACUUAUUUUAAUCACAUGAUAACAAAUUUUGUAGGACAAUAUAAUUAGAUCCAACUUUUGCGGCUCUGAUAAUUUUUCGUGGUUCUGAACGGGGCAUUUUUUCGCUACUAAAUGGAAAUGCCUUUCCCCUGUCACUCUAGCUUACCCCAUCCAUGCUUCAGCUCCAAAAGCUGAAAUUUUUAUAUGAUAUGUAUUUACUAUUAAGGUUGCAUGACUAUUUAAGAAAAAUUGUGCAGUAAUCUUCGCUUUUCUAACAUUUUUUUAGACAUCGUGGGGUCAAUUUGAGCUCACCAAUCUCCUCUGUAUCACACUUAUUUCAAAUGGACACAAAGAAUGGACCAAAAUAAACUAUGAAACAACAAAGCCUACAUUUUUCUCUCUUUUGCAAAAAUGUUAUACUUAUAUUCGUUCAAAAAAGCUACUAAACAUAUAUUCUUACUCACAUGUUUGAGUAGUAAAUCAUAACCAUACACUUAGUGUUCCAUGAAAAUCUUCUCCAGUGCAUUUUUUUCAUAAAGCAAAAUCUUCAGACUCAUCAACUUUAAAUGAGCUCGUAUUCAAGAGGAUUUUAAAACAUAUGAAUGUUUUCUUUUUAUAUAUUGUAGCUAGUAUUUCGGAUUGGCUUUAAUUUUUUUAUUUUAAAUUUUUUUACAUAUAUAUCCUUCUAAACAUUCAAAUUUUUAUGAAUAUUCUUAUAAAAUUACUAUUUACAUAUAUAUUCUUAUAAAUUUUUCUUUUUGUACAUCUACUCAGAAGGAUAUUUUAGUUAUUUUAAUUUUAAACCAUUAAUUUUUAACAACAUUAAAUAAUAUGAGUAUAUAUGUCAAAAAAAAUAUUUUAUGGGGAUAUACAUGCAUAUAUCGAUUUUGAAUGAGUAUACAUACAAAUUGGAAUGUUUAGGAGAGUAUACUGUCAUGUGAAAUAAUAGUUACGCUUCCUUUUUUUUUUUUUUUUUCAUUUAUAGACUCCACAUAUGGACCAUGGAGAGUUGGUAUGUUUAUAUUUGAGAGCAUUUUAAUUAAAGAUAAGCGCAAAAACAACAUAUCCAAAAACUCAACCAUACCAAGUUGCCACUCACAUAUUUGGUGGUUGUCCUAUUACUAUCUCAAUGACCACAAAAAUUUGAUCAUAAUAAUAUCAAUCACCUACCAGCAUUAUUUAGAUAUGAAGAUUUCUAAAACCUUGUACAUCAUCAAGUAUAACCCUGUUUAGAGCUUGGCCCACCUAGCGCCUUGAUGGACAGACCAAAUUUAUAAAAUAAUUUCUUGAAAAAUUAAUGAUUAAAUAUUUUUAUAUAAAUUCUUACAUAUUUAUAGUUAAUAAUCUAAUUAUACAUAUAUAUAUUUUUUUCCUACCAUAGUUCCCAUUGAAUAUGAUCGGUCCUGCUACUGGUAAAUUCCAAUCCUCUAUUAUGGUGCCUUUUGUUUUCAAUUUAUUAGUGCUUGGCAUCAAAGUGUUUUAUUCUAAUGCUAUCAGUUUUAGCUUGCUUCUCUCGUAUUCUUUAGUAUGGUGGGUUUCUCUUUUUAUUUUGGUUUGGGAUGAGUUCAAUUAUGUGCCAAGUCUAUGCAUUCUUGUUCCUAUCAUGUUUCUGGCGGGAGGGGGGGGCGGUUUGUUGGUUUGUAGGGGGUGUAAGGUAUAUCACACCUAAUGUUACAGUCUUGUGCAGGUUUGGAUUGUAUCUUUCGUAUGAAUGAAUGAUUAAUUUAGAUUUAUGGACUUAAUCAUUAGAUUAUAUUUUGGAUUCCUUGCUCUAAAUAUCUUCGAAAAGAGGACUAGAUUUUAGAACCAUAAGAAUGAAGAAGAAUGCUUGACCAAAAUAUAUAAUUGGCAUAGUUUUCGAAAUAUGAUAUUAGUUUCAUGAUUUAUACUAUGGAUGAAAAGAAGUAGAUCACCAUAUUUUAAAAGCUAUACAACGUACGACUUGUUGGGAUAGAUCCUCAUCACUUAGAUGACUAUCCCUCUUUCUCAUCUUACUGCCGACUAAGUGCACGAUGACUGUCUCUUUCUUGUCUCUGCACCGAUUAAGCGUAUAACAUUAUGGAUCAAGCCGACUCUUAGAUCAACAGGAUUUGGCCUAGUCGAUAUUCAACCGACUAAGAUUGAUAGAACUUGACCAAGUCGGCAACCAACUUGGUUCGACAUACAGUCGACGGAUGGCCAACUAACCAAUCGACAUAUAGUCGGUAUUUGAUCGCCAUAUACUCAGCGCCAUACCGUCUAUCUAAAUCCCAUAUAUGUGGAGAUCAAAUAACGGUUAUUCGGUAUGAACAGUAACUACAUACGAAUGUAGAGCACAAUAGCCAUCCACGAGCAGCCCAUUACUCGACUUUAAUAGCAGUUAAUAAGGUAACCACCCAUUAAAUACUAUAACUCCUAUGUCCUAAAUAUUCAGAGGUGAGAGUUAUAUAAUAACGGCUUUGCUCAUUUUAUAUAAACUAGUAAAUUACAGGGGAUCAAGUAAGCUAAGCUAAAUAUGGACUUUUGAGCUCUCAUUUUUGGCUCUCGGCUGUGCCCUUUCUUAAGCUAAUUUAAGCAUCGAAGGAUCCCUCGCUAAACAACUUCCAGCAAGAGGACUUGUUUUGCAGGUUUAUUGUCACCCACCACUCCAACGCAUCAACUUGGCUCACCAUCGACCAUCUCAUAGGAGAUUGGCUGCAAUAUGGCCUAAUAAUUGAGAUUGUUAAAUAAGAUCAAUCAAUCAUCUCCAUAAAAGACACAUUCUGACUAGUUUUGUACUGUAUUAUCUUUCCUCUUUUAAUGUAGGUUUGUUCUACUGAUGUUAUACCUAUACAAUACAUGAAAGGGGAGUUCAGGGCUCCCCAAGCACGUCACAUGCCACCUGUUAGAGCACACACAUAUCAGUGCCCUGGCUAUUGAAUCCCCUUUCAAUGGUGGAGAAGCCCGAAGGGAGGGCAAAUAGAAAGGUCAACCAUCAAGCUUGCAGUAGAGGAGAAGGUCCAUGCCCAUUGAUGAUGUUUCUCAACAAAAGGGAGCACAAGUUCACACCAGAAGCUACUGCUUCUGCCUAACGUACAUUGCCAACUCAGCAUCCAAUUGGAUCUGUAGCCAACCUGUCAUGAAGAGAGCGAAAAAAAAGAAAAGGGCAUGUGGAUUUGGAAGUGACAUAACAAGAACGUGCAUUCUCUUUUGAUUAUAGGCUUAAGGUUUAAGAAAAGAAAUCUCAGAAGCUUUAAUUAGAGGGAGCAAGUUUUUGGAUAAAAAGAACGGAGGACAUCGAUGGAAAAUAUGGAAUGUCUUAUCACUCUCACUGCUUCCAGUUAUAUAUAUGUGGGAAGUUUGAAAGAUUCAUUCAAGCACAGACGAGUUCAAAGCUAAAUAGAGAAGGUGAGGUGUUUUUUUUUUGGUGGGGGUCUGUCUCUGAUUGUUUUUUCUCUUUUCUUUUUGAUAAGAUUUAUUGACGAUCAGAGAGAUCAAAAAGGAUGAUAAUAGAUAAAAAGGGAUCAAAGAGGGUGACAACAGACGAGUUUCAACUCCUCUUUUUUUUUUGGUUUGCUUUUUCCUCAUUAGUUUAGUCUGAAGCUCUUUCAUUGUAGUAUCAGAAACAACAUUGUGUUUCUUAUUAAGAAUGGAGGAGAGUUGCUGCCCAAAUUUUGGCAGCCUUCCACUUCUUUAUUAAAAAAUAUCAUAUGAGGGAGGAAAGAGACAAUGGCUUGCUGCCACGUUAUAGCAGUCUUGCUCAAUGUCCGCAUGAAAGUAAAAAAAAAAAUAUAUAUAAUAUCAUGGUUGCUGCUACCACUCUACAGUCUUUCAGUGAAGAGAAAAAGGAAGGAAGAGAGGGUUGCUGCCAUGCCAUGGCAGCCUUCCUCAAUGCCCCCUAAGAGAGAAAUUAAGAGUCACGGUUGCUGCUAAAUAGUAGUCUUCCAAUGAAGAGAAAAAAGAAAGGACAGAGGGUUGCUGUGAUUAAGGAUUCGAUGAAUCGAGAGAGAUAAAUGGGUUAAGUGGGAAAAAGCAGCAUACAGGUUAAUGGGUUUAGAAUGGUCUAGCUCCAGAUCCGUAGUCACAGGUUAAUGGGUAGACCAAAUGGAUCAUCGAUUCAUGGGCUAAUGGUUUAACGGGUCCAAAAUAUUUGGAUUCAAAUUGUUGGGUUAGUGGAUGCAAGAAUCGGAUUUUGAAUAUUUGGGUUAGCGGGUUAUUGAAGCCCGUUUGCUGUUAGGGUUAGGGUCAGGGUUAGACUGGCUUGGGUUAAUUGUUCAGCUAGGGUUUGGAUUAGGGUCAGGGGGUUGGGUAUAGUUUGAGUUAGGGUAGGACUAGGAUUAGUUACUGUUGGGGGUUAGGGUUAGGGUUAUGAUCAGACGUCUGAUUAGGAUUAGGGGGUCUACAGUUAGGGUUAGAGUUAGGGCGGGCUUGCAGACAGGGUUGGUUUAGAGAAGGAAACAUCGGAAAAAAAAUAGAAAUAAACAUUUGAGAAAAGGAAGAGAGGGAUGGUGUUUGGAUCAGAAUGAAAAGAAAGAAAAAAUAUAGAAAGAAAAUAAAUAAUAAGUGAGGGAUUAUGGUUAUGGUGCAAGGAGAGUUGGAUCGGACAAAAGAACAAAAAAAAAGAGAAACAAAGCAAUAGGAUUAGGAUCGGGAUGAAGAACAAAAAAAAAUCAAAUAAGGGAUGAAGAACAAGAACAGCACUUUAACCACUCUGCAUAGGUCAGCUUUGAGGGCUUGUAUGCUGUGCCGGCAUCGAAGGGGAGGAAGGCGACGACGAAGACCCAGAGGUGGAUGGCCAUGCGAUGGAUGACGUCCACAGCUCAAAGGGAGAGGCAGUGGAGGACAUCGGAGACAAUCUGUAGGGUGGAUGCUGGUGGAGAGAGGGAGAGGGAGUGGCAGAGGAGGGAGCUGGCGAGGACAAUGACAGUGGUGGUGCCAAGGGUAGGGAAAGGAAGCAGGGGCGGGGGAGGGGGGUGCGAUGCAGACAUAGGGGGUGGCUGGUUGGUGGCAGGGGGUGAGGAAAGAAAACAGGAAGGGCAGAGUCCUAAGGCCCGGGGGCCAUCAUCGAUGAACGAAAAUGUUGGCCACGUAGAAAGGGGGUCGGGCGGGAGAUGAGGGAGGAGAAGGGGGCGGUAAUGGAGGGUGAGGGGCGGCCGAUCUGGAGGUUUUGGAGUGCACCGGCCACCAAGGGGGGGUUGGAUUCAUGUUGGGGUUGAAGCCAAGGGGGGUCGAUGGAUGCCGGAGGGGUAGAGCUGGGAGGACCUCAUGGUUGGCCUCAAGGUUUAGGAGGGGGGGUGCAAUAAGAGAAGGAGAGCAUUGGUGGGGGAAUAUGAGGGGGAGGGGAAGGUUUUGGGAGCAACGACGGUGGUGGAUGGGUGAGAGAGGAUUAGGGCCCAUGGGAGAGAAACGGGGAGGAGAGAUUGUGGGGGGACGGGUGAAGAGAGGGGGCUGCACCAUUAGGGGAUGGCGGACGAAGGAACAAAAGAGGCUACGAUUUGCGGAUUGAGAGUGGGGAGGUAUGAUCUAGAGCAUAGAGAAUGAGUUAGAAAGUUUUGGAUAGAAUUUUUUUAAAAAAAGAUAUUUUUGCAAAAAGCUCUCUCUACUUAUUAUUUUUAUAGAGCAAUCCAUCAUUUCAUUGUAAUUACAAAAAAAAAUUAAAUUAUAAAAAAUAUUUUAAAAAAUUAUUAAUAAAAUUUUGUUAAAUUUUAGCAAUAUACAAAAAUAAAAAAAUAUUACUUAUUUUGAAAGAAAGGUUGCAUAGAUUCCAAAGUUGUGGUAGCAUUUUUGAUAAAUUUUUUUUGAUAACUACAAAAAUAUUUCUUAGUAGUAAAAAUAUAAUAAUCUAAUAUAUAAUAUUCAUCUAAUAUUAUAAUAAUAAUACAAUAGUAUACUAUCUAGAUAUAAUAAUAUAUACAAAUAUAAUAUAAUAUAAUGUAAUAUAUUAUUGUAUAUAAUAAUAUAAUACUAUGAUAAUAUAAUAAAAUAAUAUGUUAUUAUAUACAAUAAUAUAUAUUAUAUUAUGUUAUAUUAAUAUAAGAUAUUAACAUAAUAUACAUAGUAUAUUAUAAUAUACUAUAAUAUAUUAUAAUAAUGGUAUAACAAUGUAUAAUAAUAUUAACAUGAUAUAUUAAUAUAUUAUACUAUAAUAAUAUAGUAUAAUAUAAUAUUAUAUUAUACUAUUUUAACAUAAUAUACUAUAUAAUAAUAUUUAUAUAAAAAUAUUAUAACAUAUUAUUAUAGUAUAAUAUAAUAUCUUAUAUUAUUAUAAUAUAUAAUUAUUAUAUCUUUUUAUGAGUAAAUUCUUUUUUAUCAGUAAAUUCUAAGGUAUAUAUAAAGUACAGUUUAUAAUUUUGUCUAGAAUGUAGUUAUUGGUGUUGGACCGAUGGAGUGUUUUUCAAUUUUUUUAUUAUAUUAUUGACGAUCCAAAAAAAGAUAUAAAAAAAGUGAUAUAUAUAUUUUUUACAUAUGCAGUGCAAUAUUUUAGUAUUAGAAUUUCACUUUUAUUUAUUUUUUGUUAUUCAUCCCAAAAUUUUGGUAACGUAUACUUUUUAGUUAUAUUAAACUUCAAAUUUUGAAAGUCUAAAUAAUUUAGGAUAUAUAUGAUAUUUUUUUUUAAAUUUUUUAUAUUUAUUAUUAAAAAAUAGUAAUUUUAAAAAGGACUCCCAUAGCAAUAAGGAGUGUAGCACAAUGAGCAUAUGUUAGAGAAAUAGUCAGAGAAUUGAACGAAUAUAAAAUAGAAUUCAAUAUUGACAUGCUUGACCAUAUCAAGAUAGUCAAAAAAAAGAUCCAAGAAAUCAUAUUUGCGGAAAACAUUAUGAAUGAAGAAGAAAGAUUCUUAAAAUUGAGAGCGACUUUAUCUGAACUUUGGCAAUGUCUUUUAGCUCAUUUUUAGGGAUCACCGACAUCAUAAAAAAACUAUUCCUGAUUAGUGAAGAGUUUUGUUGAUGAGUACAUAAAAAGAAACAUAACUCGAUUAGCCAUUCUUUCUUUGUGUCCUAAUUUUCAUUAUCAUGGACAUAUUGUGUUAGGUGAUUCAUAUCUAUUAAAAGCAAUACCUAGCCAUAUUCCUAGAGAAAUUAUAGAGUCUAUCCCAAAAAAAGUUCGAUAUAUUCAUCCUUGAUCUAUUGUAUCAAAAAAUCUUUUAUUGUGAAUAGUUCUUUUGGUAGUGUAAUAUUCGCCUCUAAUGUAAAUACAUGUAUGUUAUUUCCAAUCUAUGAAAUACCAUCAUGUGAUAUAUGACUUUAUAUUCAACUAUUGAAACAGGUAUAAAAAAAUAAUAUGCUAUCUUACACACUAAGAAAAUAAAAUUUAUAUAUAUUAAAGCUUAUAAAUUGAUUGUGUGAUGUACAACUCAAUAGGACAAUAGCCGCAAUUACACUUGCGGGAGAAAAGCAGGUUGUAUCUAUUAAUCCUGUACACGAAGAAACAACGAACAAAAGAACAAUUAAAGAAUUACUGGAGAUGGAUCAAUAAACCACUCAAGUACAGUAGUCAAUAUACGCAAAAGAUUUAAAAGUAUAUUUUUAUAUAUUUUAUCCUGUAACAACUUUUUUUUUUUUUAUAGGACAUAAAAUUUACGUGUAGAGCAAAAUUGAAAGCGAUUGAUAUCUUUUACGAUUGGUGGUACAAAGUAUGUUACAACUGUAGAUCUAUAAUCAAAAUAUAUAGUGAUAAUUUUUUAUGCAACCAAUAUAAUAAAAAUGACUAACCUCCGACGCCAUAAUAAACAAAUGAUGUUUCUUUUUAGAUUUUAUUAUAAUUUUAUGUAAAAUUAUAUAAUUUAUUUUUUUCUGAAUAAGUAUAUGUUCAUGUUAUCUAAAUUUUUAAGGUACAAAUUGCAUGUGAUAGUUGAGGAUCAUACUGAUGAUGUCAAUUUUAUUAUAUUCAGAAAAUAAGCUUAGCAAUUAAUUGGUAUACCGGCAUUCAACCUUGCCACUAAUCCAAGAUUAAAAAAUUUAUUUUUCCAGAUGUUAUAAAAAUAAUUCUUAACAACUGCCAUACCUUUCAAAUCAUGUUUGGUUUGCGAUAUAUUGAAAGUGCUAAUCAUAAUUUUUGAGUAAUAAAAAUUUUUAAAAAUAAUAAUCAACUCACGUAAAGCUUCCCGUGCCGAAUCAUUUUCGCUACAACUCUCAAAAAGAGUAUUAAUUUUAAUUUUUAAAAAAUAUAUAUAUUUGAAAAUUUUUGAAUAUAUCACUCUUCAAAAAAUAUGUUCUCUUACAAUCCGGUAUUAAAUUUUUGGAUCAAUUAUUUAAAAAUAUUUUUUCUAUAUAUAUAUAUUUUUUCACAGAGAUCCCACAACACCACCGGUCCGAAAAAAAAUUACAUAUUGGACAAUCCAAUAUUAUCUAACUAUUUUUUUCUAUACUUUCUGUUGUAUUUUAUGAUAACAUAAUUUUUUUUUUUUAAAAUAUUAAUGCAGCAUUGUUUUUUUUUUACCAACAGUAUAGUUGAAGAGAAAAAAAAUUGAGAGAGUACGGAUCUGUUUAUGAUUUUCUUGAUGAUGAUGUAUAUUUUAUUUUUUUAAGUAAAAUUAUAUUUUGUUUUAUGUCGAUCAAAAUUAUAAUUUUUAUUCAAAUGCGCUGCGCAGAGCGGAUCUUUGCUAGUUUGUAUAUAUCAGCUGGUUACCGAUAAAAUAAAAUAAAAUGAUCGACCGGCCAUCCUGGUCCGUUUCCUGCAAGGGCCCGCACAUUUGAUACUAAUCAGUAAUUACAAACCUGCGCGCUCGGUGGGGUGCCAGGAUGCCAAAUCCAACGCCUCUGCCGCGCGCGUCGGCACGCGUUCCCCUUUCCGUCGCUGCGCUUUCCCGCCACUCAGUACAUCCCAUCCAUCAUCAUUUAUUCCAUUAUUUAUCGCCAAUAACCUCCGAUAAAGCUCAAACCCCUCUUCCACCUCCAAACCGACUCCACUGCUCUCUCCUUGCGGAGGAAGAACAGAGCGAAAAAAGGGAUAAAAAAUGGAAGACGAUUACUCACCGGAGCCCAACAAGCUUCCCGAGCUCAAAUUAGGUAUUUUAGAACCCAUCAAACCCCCUCUACUGGGUUUUCUUGUUCCAUUUGUUGGUUUAAUCUGUUUAUUUGUAACCUAUUUUUUGGCAACUCGUCUUCCUCAGAUGCCCGACAAGCCCAGGGGUUUAUUUCCUUCUUCAAAACCCUACCCCGUGUAAGUCUCCUGCCCUCGAUCUCCAUCUAAAUUCUUAAACCCUAACAAGAAAGUUGAACAAGAAAUAUCUGCAUUUGUUUUUGUAGGAUCCUCGGGCUGUGCGCUUCUUCGAUCGCCGGGUAAGUCGAUCUUCCUUGUGUGUCAUUUGUUACCUGUAGAUAGUUCUACAUUUGGAGGUUCCAAAGCCCAGGUCUUUAGACGAUGGUAUGCUUUCUGAAGUCCAAACCGUUGAAAAAAUGGGUGUUAUUUUCCAUUAUUACAGAAGUUAAUAAAAGCCAAAAAGUUUGUUAAUGAUUCCCCCCAGCAUCCUGAUGCUGCAUAUCAUGUUUUACCAAGCAAAUUAUCAUUUUGUUCCUCGCAUUUUUAGGAGAAAAAAGAAGUGGGGAUGCAGAAAAUGAUAUGCAUAUUGUCUUAAAUCAACAGUUGUCGGGGGUUAAAUUUACGGGAAAUGUGUGAAUUAUUAAAUGGAUACAUCAGAAUUAUAUCAAGUAUUAAUUCAUCCACACAUUUUUUUGGUUACAUAAUUGAUUUCUUCUGGCUGAAAAUGCUCAUAUAUGUAGUUUCGGCUAGAGAGGAGAUUAUAUUUGUUUAUUUAUUAUUUUCACAUGAAAAUGUUGCUAAUAGAUGUCUCUUGUUCUGAAUUCUGAUUUUGAGCAACUUACCUUCACCAAAAACCUGUAUUGCAUCAGUCCAAAGAGGAACGCUGGAAAAGGAUUGAAGAUAGAGUGGUUUCAUUAUUUGAUUUUCCACAGUAUGCCUUCUGCCUAGCCCUUGAGUCUUAUGAGAUGCAUAAUACAUAUUAAAUAUAAAAUGAGUAUUUUCUUGAAGGAACUCAUGGAAAGAUAAUGAAAGGUCAGAGCUAAGAGGCACGGGAUGAGUAGUGCAAGG
rnacentral:lncRNA from 1 species